rnacentral:lncRNA from 1 species
UAACUUUUAAAAAUGGAGCUACACGGAAAAAGAGGACUUGAGCACAAACCAGUGUUGCAGUAGCUACUUGUACUGCAGGCCGUCACCAGAGUGUGCUGUUCUCGGAGUGGCUUCACCUAGCGAGGAAGCAGACGGCGUCCAUUUUAUAUACAGUCUGUGUGCUCUGCUCACAAGUUGCUCGUCGGACUGUAAGCAGUGCAACAGAGGCCUUAUCGGUGGAUAGCCCCGGUGGAUGGCGGUAGAGGAUAGCCAAAGAGUUCUGAGACUGACCGACCUGCUACCCUGAACACGGUUUAUCGCCGGGAAAACGAGCGUCGCCUUCAGUUUUGCGAACUAGUCCCUAAGUUUUGCACUACAAACUGUCUACAUAAAGACUUUGAGCAGCCACACCUGUUGUCAAGAGGGAACCAAACUGACGGUUUGGAGAAGGUAAGUUCCCUGCUGGCACAACUCAUCUUUGCUGUGUUAGCAAAAAUGUGCUAAGUCAUUAGAGGGUGAACUUUUAUGGGGGGUGAACGGACACGAUGUUUUAUUUUUAAGGUAAAUUAUAAAGAUAAUUUAGCUUUAUAAUGUCAGCCUUAUGAAACUACUGUAUGGGGUGUCACAGUAGAGCUGCUCUUGUCUGCCUCGACAUUAGAAGACAGGUGUUUGCAGGCUGAUUUUAUGAGGUGUACCAUGACUGUGCGAUGUAUGGCAAUAAUUAAUAUUGUGCUAUUUGCCCAACAAUUAGUGCACAUUAUAUUUGUGCUUUUGUGGUGGACAAAACUCUUCCACUCAGUAAUCUACUUAAUGUUAGGGAUUAUUAAGAAAGGCUCUUGUCGCUGUGCUGUGACGAUUACAGGAGACAUGUUGGCAUGUCAUAGCAGAAAAAGCACAGGUGUAAUUAAUCACAUUGAUGGCCUAAUGGCUGAUUUUCACUCAGGUUUUCCAGGUCUUGGGUCAUGAUACUUUGCUUGCCACCUGGCUGACAUGGUUUUCUUGGAAAAAGUUAUUAGAAAAAUUGCAAUAAUUAGUCUUAUUACUUCCACCUGUGCUUCUUUAGGUAUGAUAGUCAUAUCUUCUAAUAGGCCUAAUAUUGUGUGUGUAGUGGAUGCUGCUUUCUGGUUGUUUGGUUGACAACCUUUCUCUAAAGGAUAAAUGCAGAUUUUGAAAAAGUAUCCAGAUUUAUGGGUUCAUAGAGGGUUCAUAGUCCAGUGCUUUAGCCAGAUAACAUGAUGUAAUUAUGCACCAAUUGAGGCAUAUUUGUAUUCUGGCUUUCGACUAGAGCUGACACUGGGUUUGUGACACUUGAGAAAAUGAAUGCCAGACACUGUUUCCUUUUCACCCAGUAUUGACCUCCUCUCUUUUAAUGUCCCCUGGAAAAUUUCCCCUUCCUUGUUUCUGUUCAUUCUCUUUUUGUGUGUUAAAGUAAACAUAACACAGAAUGUGCUGCUUUUCUUGCUGAAAAUGUAUGAUUUCAUAUACACCGUCUACCUGGUUAAAAUUCCUCUACUUCGAGAAUUUGUAUGGGAAGCCUUAAAUGAAACAUUGGCGAUUUUUUUCUGAUAGUUACCAGGUAUGUUAUCAUGCAAGAUGACUGACAGUAGAGUCAGAUUAUAAAGUAAGAUUAUAUCUUUCUUACAUCUUCCCGUCUGAUCUUUUCUUCCUUUUUGUAAAAGUUUUUGUACACCCUUCAUAGCAAUUAAAAUUUUUUGAUGUUUUGUCAGAGGAGAUGAGGUAAUAUCACUGCAACCUCUCCUAUGCUGUCGCACUUUUAGGAUAGCAGGUUAUUCCUCCUGAUUUGCCUGAAAUAGCAUUUCUACUUCUAUUUUACCCCAGCAUUUAAGCAUUUAAACACUGGUUGUUAAUUGUACUGUACUACUACUGACAAAUGCUUUUAAUCAUUUGCGAUGUUUGUUGACUCAAACCAACAUCAGGGUUGUAGUCAAAGCUGUAUGAACUUCAUUUUACUGGAUAAAACUGAGAUAACCUAUCACUACCCUGUGCUGACUGUGAUUUCAGUUCUUUACAGCAUGGAAGACUUGUUUUUCUUCUCCCUUUUCCAAACUUACAUCCCACUUAUUUUCAGCUAAACAACUUCCUAAAGGUUCUCUGACAAUGUUGGCUCACAAUUGAAUACAAAGGAGCAGAAGGAGGAGGUGUGGGAGGCAGGCGGAGGAGGUAGAAACAGUAGAAAGCAGCUUUUAAAGCAAGCUGAGCCACCAACUGCUCCUGCACAUCUUUUCUCUUAUCUUAAUAAGUAAUGAGGCUGCCACAGGCUGACAAUGAAGUAUUUUGAAAAUAGUUCUAAUGUAUGGCUUUGAAAGGGGUGGCUGGGCAUUGAUGUAUGGCACAAACAGGCUUGGAAACAAGUGAAAUAUUAAUGGGCUGUUCCCCUGGAGUUAAUGUGGGAUUUACCUGAUUGCGUGGUGAGAGACAGGAGCUUGGAUGUGGCUGAUGGGAAGGCAGGACAAGAAUAUGACUGAGAGAUGAGUCUUAAGGACUGGGUGAUGUGGAGGUGUGGACUUAGUUUUCAGUAAUCAGGAUUUCAGAAAUAAAACCAUCACCUUAAAAGUAAACUAAUAGUAACCAUCGAGGUAACUCCUCACUGCUUCUUCAGUCAGCAUGCUAAGAAUAAUUGGAAGAGGCAAAUAUCUGUUCUUUUCUUUGUUAUUGUAGGAUUUUCAAAUACAGUUUAGUCUUUUGUUUCUAUGAAAUUGAACCUUGCAGCUGUUUUUGUACUAUUACUAUUUUUAGCUUCUCCACCCUGUGAUUAUUAACUUUCACAGCACGAAUGAAUAAAGCAAUCCAUCUUUUUUCUGUUGCCAUUUCAUCACAUGGGACUGAUGCAUUAACACUUGGUCAAAGCAGCCUAUCAUAUCAGGAUACACCACAAGGGAGCAGCAGUGUAAAGGGAAGAGAGCCCAGCAGGUUUUCUAAGUGCAUCAUAGAGGACGGACGACGACAAAGAUCUGUUUUGAUACACAAGUUUUAAGUUUUUGACAUGCAGAAAAAAUAUAGAAAUGAGUUUAAGGCAAAAUCAAAACAAGUGUUAGCAUAUAAAAAUUAAAGUCUCCAUGACCAAAACUUUUUGGAGAGAUUCUCUAACCCAUUACCAACAAUUUUAGAAAUAGCAGAAUAGUCCACUGUUCAAGCAGUGUGCUAGAAAGGUGAAGGUACAGUAAUAGUUUAAGUGCUUUACCCCAGAGACGAGGCCUAAAUCAACACUGACGCACACAAUUGAAAAGUUCCGUCUGAGAGCAGCGGUGGCAUCCCAGAAUGCUUGCAAAUGCCAUUCAAGUAGUGGAAAGGUCAAUAGUUAGAAUAACUUUUGUUGAGGGAAAAGAAAAACUUGGCUGUACUAUCACAAAUUGCUUCCAGACAUUUUUUUUCUCUCUCUCGGAGCAAGUUAUUACCAAAAUUGAGUGUAGAAUUGUGCAUUUCACUCUGGAGUGUACAGUGAGGGAUAAGUGCCCUUAUUCUAAAAUGCAGACCUCCUCCUAAAAGUCAGUAACUUGUCAUUUAACAAAAAAAAAAUAGUGCUGCCUGGGGAUGAAUUAUUCCAAAGGUGAAGGGAUACAUUUUUAUUGAUGGAAAAAAAGCCUGAUAGUUCUUAAAAGUAGCCCAUGAAUCAUGUCUUUAAUAUCACUUUGACACUACUUGACUGUUUGAUUGUUUUAUCCACAUUAGCUGCUAUUUCUUGUUUGAUUAAAAUACAUUCAGUCUAAAUUAAUGGCAGGUUAAUGAUUAAAUUGGAUUCUCUUGUUUUCUGAAAACCUUUUAAUUUUAACUUUUAAUAAAUACAUCAUUACAAAGAUCAAAGUAAAUCAGUUUUUAAUGUUGUAAUGCAUAUUUCAAAACAUACCCCAUGGUAUAAGUGUUGUAGAAGUCUAUAGUAUGGCAUUUUGGUCAUUUUUAGGACGGUAUGGCCGGACUGUAAGACACAGAACAUUUUUCAAAGGCUGUAUGGUCCCACUGCCAUACUUACUAUUAGUUUCCUUGUGAUGUUUCAGUGCACAGUGCCUUUGAAACUCUCCAAACAGGCUCUACUACUCAGGUUUAACGUCUUCUUAGAUCCCAAAGUGCUCCCAAUGUGUGAUAGCUCCUUUAAACUGUGAUUGUUCUUAUUGGGACAGUAGGUGCAAUGUGGGAUGUAAAUAAGGUUUCCAAGUGACACUGUUUUCUUGUCUCAUGCACAAAGAAAGCCUUUAGGCCAAAUUCAGAUCUAAUGUCGCCUUACAAAAGGAGUCUCACAUACACAUUCAUUUUCAUCUCAUUUUUGGUACCAAAUGUCCUGAGUUACAGUAAACCUCCAUGAAAUUGACCCUAAGUCACUAAGAUACUCUGUCUUAUGGCCACAUUUGCUACUCAUACUCUCACCCCUGUUUCACUCACCUUGAACAGAGUACCAUUGCUACUUGAAAUGAAAAGCAAAUAUUAAUAUUCGCUGGUGUUACCCUGGAAGGUAAAAUGCGUGAGGCCCAGGAAGGUGUUAUACAUUCCCCUCUUAAUGACACACUCAGGUUCCUGUUCUGGGGCAGUUUUUUUUUCUUUCUCAAAAAUGUCCAUAUCAUCGAACAUUUUACUGUUCUCAUGGUAUUGUUCCUUUUAAUGGUUUUGUUUAGAGUUUUCAAAGCAUAAAUGACCUUUUUUAUUCACCAUUCAAAAAGUACAUAAUUCCAUUUGAAUACAUAUUUCACAAUUAUGCUGUAAUUUUUCAUGCUUGAUUUUAACAGUAGAUAGCACUAUGAUGGAACAUGUGUUAGUAACAAAGUUUUGGUUUCAAUUUCUGAAGUUUAACUUGUAAAAAAAAUCAACUAAUUAAUUUAUUUUACCAGAAACGAAAGUGACAUUUUACAGCCAGCCAUUCAGUUUGAGUAUUUUUCUUCGCAUGGUCUUUUUCACAUUUCUGAAAGUCUGUCUGUUUUAUUCAAACUCAACUGCUAAAUCUAUGUAUGAGCAGAUCAUUUCCUGUCCAUGUUCCAUAGUAAGACACUGAGUUACUUCAGGUUUCGAUUGUGAGUUUUCAGUUAUGUCCAAUUUUCUGUUCCAUUAAUGCUAUUUAUUUAGUUUUAUUCCUUACUACAAAUAGACAGCUUUGUACAAAUGAUUUAGAGCUGUUGCUUAGAGCUACAAUCCCCAGCAGUGAGAAGCUGGUUAGUAUUGAAGUGUCUUUAUGAGAAGAAGGCAGAGAAUGCUGUGUAAUUUCAGUCCGACGGAUGGCCCUCACAUCAGUGUUCUCACAUUAGGGGACCAAUUACUGCAUGGGGAGAUGAAACAGGCUUAGUAAAUAUGAAAUAGGCUGUCCGUGGUGACAUUAAUAGAGUUAACCCAGAGACCAGGUGGGAUCAAAGGGGCCUCAACCAUAUUAACCAAUCUGUCUGUGUCUGUGCAAAGAACAGCUGAUCGAAGAUAAUGACAGUGUGUGUCAUCAAAACACACUGACCACCAACACGAGGAGAUGUGUGUGUUGGGUGCAUGUGCGCAUGCAAGGCUGUAUUCUGCUCGUCUCCUCCUUAUCUGGGAGUCUGUGGCUGAAGGAAGAUCACUCUGUAUGUGCACAAGUUCUCCAUGUAAAAAUGUUGGCUAGAAUUGUGUCACCGAACCAGUGUAUCUGUUAACACACCAGCACUCACCACAGAUACACAGGAACAAACCUCUUCACACAUUGUGAGGGAGAUGCACAGUGGAGGUUGUAAGCGGCUGGAGUUUAAUUAGAUUCAUUGUAACAUGGGUUGUUUACCAGAACCAGAACCCUCCGUGCCUGUGAUACCAGAUUUUGAAAUACAACACUUUUGCUCGUUGGUUCUCUUCAGCUUUGUUGUCCGGAUUUAAAAGCAUAUUGCUGUUUAUGCACAGAGGGCUAUAAUGAUCUAUCAUACCAUGCGGGCGAGGGGGCUGAACCCUCUGCUCCACAUAAAUAAACUGCAAUUUGGCCAUCUGUUUGGAUUCUUUCUGUCUCCCUGGAGACCCCCAUCUGCCUUUACAUUAUCAAUUACAGUUCAGCCAUGCUGCUACCCCACACCACACAACACACUCUUCUAUAAUCCCCAAUUUUGACGGUGUAAACCAAAGUAGAGCUUAAAAAAAGUAUAUAACAUACUUCUGGAAAUGGCAAUAAAGAGCAGGAAAUCAUUCUUUAAGUGUGGUUUUACUACUGCAUGAUUUUAGAUAAAAGUAGAAACUGCUCAGUUACUGGGAAAAACACUAAUGUCGAGCAAUCUGCAACACUGUUCAAGACAUUCCAUAUUGAAGUAUUUUGUAGCAUUGUUUUUAAAAUUCAUAUCCACACACUGACUUUCUGAUCAUGAUUUGUGUUUUUUCUCCUCUCAGUGUGGCACUCAGUACUUCAGAAGAUCCAUCGAGUUUGCUUCAGAGUGUGAAUUUGAGGAGACACCAGCUCGAGAAUGAGAAGCACCUUUGUUCUGCGGUUUCCAGGAAAAGCGGUGAGGUUCUCAAGGGGACAGGUAUGUGUGGGAAGAGGACCCUUGUCAAGUGCAUGGUGCCUCAUUAAUAUGGAGACAGGUGCUCUUUUGAUGAGUUCAUAAGCAGUUCAGUAGCAGCCUGGAAGAAGUGCACUUUACAAGGCUGUUCAAAGAUCUUUGACAUCUGAGGAGAGCCAGUGAAGCCAAUAAUCCCACUUUCAGAAUGUGAGUCUUUCCUCUGAGAUCAAUCCCAGAUCGAAACAUCAAAUAGAGCUGCUGCUUUUCUCUUUUUAAACUCCCCCUCCUCCCCUUACAAAAAUCACUUACUAGAUGGUAUUAGACAAGCUAGCAAAAGUGUCAUUACCGCUGGGAAGAGGGGAUGGAUAGAUUUCCGUCAAAUUGUGGAAUAUUUUCCACCAGUUUAAGCCUGUAGUUAAGAGCGCAGCAUUAUUGAUAAGACUGUGCUCUGGGUCCAGCGAUGUGCCCAAGGGCCCAAAGAGAAGCAAUCCACAGAAGUGGGCUUUCAUGUUCAUCUAUGUACAAGAACAAAGCGAGGAUUAAGUCUGGGCCUUUCAUCCACAAAGCGGGAGGAGUAUUUUUAUUUUUUAAAUUUUUUUUACGUACCCCUUGGGAUGGCUGUGGACUCGGCCAGAGCCAUCUCAGUAUAGCACUGUCGCCUCUGGCGGGUCUGACGAUCCCCCACACUGCUCUCCUUCUCCUGGCAGAGAAGAGUGUGGGAACAUUUCUGCCUCUAAUACAGCGGGUUGUAGUUGCAACUUUGCAGUGCACACAAAAGUUUUUGACCUCCAAUAUUUUCGAUGUAUGAAUUCAAAAUGAUCCAGUAGUCUUAACAUGCUAAACUUAGCAGAGUAUAGUUUUCUUAACCUAUCAGAGUAAUUAUUGUUUCUUUGCACUUACUGGAAAUCAGGUUAAUUAUUUCGAGGCCCUCUUUAAUUUGAACGGAUGUUUUCUUUUGAUGGCUGACCAGUCAAUCUGUUUGUAUUGAUGCUGUCAUUUCCGGAGGCAAGACUAGGUCCAAGUUGGAUUGUAGAUAUGUUGGGAAUCAUGUUUCAUCCGUCUCAAAGGUUUAUAAGUAGAUUACCUUUUGUAAUUCGUUUUGUUACACCAGUCAAUAAGCGUCCAAUGCAAAUGUGGUUCAUUUGUAUUUGAAUUGAUGUCCUGUCCCCAUUAACUUAUGCCUCUAAUGCAUUCUGGUACAUUAGUAAAUAGACCUGCUGGAUUAAUCAUUAGUUCAUUGGGAUCAUUUGCUUUCCUCGUGCUUAAUCGAAUCUCUGACAUUGGUAAUAAGGGCAGACUUCACCUGCCUCCCUGGACUCUCAGAAACAAGGAAGAGUAAUUUCACAGGAAUGUAGUAGUCUUUGUUUCAUUUAUGUGCUAUGAUGCCAGACAAAUUUGAGAGCAACAACAGAUAAGUUGCUUUGACAUCCUCUUGAUGUGUAAUCAGUAAGUUCGCUGGUUUAAUUGACAUUCAGAAUCGUACCUGUUUUCCAUGCACCCUCGCUCCCUGUUAUCUCUCUCCCUUACAUUGACCCUGAUAAUUAAUGGCUUUUAUGUCUUGAGAAUAAAACCUCCAAACAGGCUCCUUGCACAUUAUUUAUUUAGUUCUAAUUAAUUGAAGUAUACCUGGAUUGAAUUCAACAGGGGCAAGUUUGCUGUGUCUCCUGGUUAGAAGCCUAUUGCCUUAUGCAUGACUGCUUUGUGUAUGCCUGGAUUAGAAUUAGAAAUCAGUGGCUUAAAGUAAAAGUCUUGUUAAUAGUUAUUUUUCCAGCUGCUUUCAACUCUUUCAGCUUUGGCUCCCAAGAGAUUCACAGUGGGGACAUUUACUUGAUGCUGUGGACAGGUGUGUUGCCAUAACCUGGACAGACAUUGCCUCAUUGGCCUGUGGUUUGGCUUUUGUGGACUUGUAACAGUGACAUGUCAUCACCUCUGGGUUCAGCAGCACCUGGGAUGAUACAUGGGCCAUUUCAUGUACAGUGAUGCUGAUAGCUUUUCAAUGCAGUGUCACUGGGACCCACAGGUUGUGAUUAAAAGGAAAUGUAAUGCGUCCCCAAUUAGAUUUGUCUGUGGGGAGAAGCAGGAAUUAAAAGAAUACAGUAGUCUUAUUCUUAAUGGAAAAAAUAAAAAAUCAUCCAACGCUAUUUUGUAUCUGAUUGGAAAAAACAGACCUAAUCUGGUUUAGGGUUUAUACUGUAAAGCAGUGAAACAUAAGUACUAAACAAUUAAAAUAAAAACAUUUAUAUUUCUGUCUUCACUCAAAGAAGAAAAGUGAACAGGUUAGUCUGUUUUGUUUUCUCCCAAAAUAGGCUCUGUAAAAGAGAAAUACAGAAAGAAAACGCCAUUUGUCACAUUGUCAAAGUCAAAAAUGCUUAUUUAUCCAAAUAGUGUAGCACACUGCUCAAAUACAACACCAACAGCUGGCAUAAAUCCUGCAUCCACAAAAAAGUAAGACUUAGUUUGUUGGCUUGGUGCUCACACAUGCAGUGAGUCGCCAUUUACAGGCUAACAGAAUAGACGUCACAAUUGCCGUGAUUUGUAGCCAUGGAACAGAAACCACUCAAAAUGAACUCAAGUUAGAAAAAAUUAUGAUGUUUUGCCCUGCUUUGAGCUGGUAAGCAUUAUGUUUUCUUAUGUUUUCUUCUGGGUCGCUUUUUCUCAUUUUAGCUGUUUCCUGUCUGUACCCCAGUUGUCUGUUUUUGGCCAACAUGUUGGGUAGCAACUAGCAUUCAAAAUGCAUUAGAAGCACUUGUUCCAGUGGUUGGAUGGUACAAUUACAGGUUUAAAAACUAUCAGCAGAUUUGCAUUACUGUCAGUUGGAUCCCUCAUGCUUCCUUGGAAAAUAUUUGACAUAAGAGAAUGUAAGAGUAUGUUUUUUGCCAAAGGAAUUUUUGUAUCUAUUAUAUAUAUUGCAACUAAGUGAUUGUUAUCAUUUACAAAGAUCGUUUACAGAUAUUUCUUAGUUUGUGGUUGAAAGGCGAGGUGUGUCCCUGGGUUACGUUGGUAGUCAGUUUACUGCAUCCCUUUAGAUUUUAGUAUGCCAGAGAUGCAGGAUGCGUAUCAAGCAACAUCACUACAAGUGUGGGCAAUAUCUGUCACAGUGAGUUGAUAUAAAUACAUUUAGAACAUAACAAUCGUGGUUUUAAAGCAGUCUACAAUAUUGACAACUGUAACUUAUUUUAAUGUGAUGUAUCAGUGCUUCAUGCAUUGAAAUACAUGCUUAGUGGCUGUUGUUAUGUUGAGGAUGUGCCUUGAAUAAAUGGGACUAGGAUCAACUCUGUCAGAGGGACAUGACCUGGAAUAAAAUACCACUCAAUAAUAUGUCUUCCACACAUGUUAAAGUGUGUAACUGUAUUAAUGUGAGCCUGCCUCCUCUUGUACGGGAGGGAGGCUCAAAUAUAAACACUUAUUCGAAGUAUGUUAUAAAAAGAAAAAACUCUACCUACUCUGAGCUGUUUUGUUAGAUUUUGCUUUAGUCCUCUACUGGGCAAGGAUCAUCAGUUUGUAUGAUGUGUGGAUUACAGCAGCAGGCAUUAUAUCCUGUGUGGUAUCCCAUUCAAACAAAGACACCCAUUGUAUUUGUUCCUUUAACCCAUAACCCAGCCAAUCAGCACUUGUGUGAGCCUUUUGUUUUUCAACCAUCCCCAAAAUACAUCCAUCUCCUUAAUGGAUCUCUUUUUUUCUCUGGUGGAUAUCAUGGUUCAGAAUACAGCAACACCAGUCUGUGAGGAACAUAGAUGGAGUCAGGCCACACAGGCCCUUUAAAAAGCAAGAUUAAUAACCCAGUUCAGAUGAUCUCAUAGUUAAGUGUUUUCUGUUGUAUUUACACAUCCGCCCAGGCUGUCAGACUUGUGCUCGUCCCUGAGAAAUGGAACCGACACAUCCUGACACUAAUGCAUCACUGAAAAUAUUUGAAAUGAAUAAAGCUCAUGCUUUCCAGCAACAGAGAGGGAGAGAGAGACAUUACAAACACUCCAUUUGACAUUGACACAAUGGCGCCUUUGCUCAAUGCAAAUACUGUUAUUCUCCUCCUGCCUGCCUACAACCCCCUCACUCCCCCUCCUCUUAUCCUCCUUUGAUGGAGGCGUCACAUGGGGAAAAAUAUCCUGCUCUCAAUGCAAACUAAUGAGAUAUAUUAAUGACAUUAGACACUUAAUUCAAUGCAUGUAUAAUUCAUAAUAAGCGAUUGCCCUGGUUUGAAGAAGUACCUUUUGUGAGAAAAAUGAUCCUAUUAAGCGAGGUUUAAUCCAAAUCCAAGCUGUCAAAACACUCAGGUCUUUUUCUAUCUCACACUGUUAAUUGUCAUCAGCAUUUCAGAUUGAUUUUUGGUCGUCCAGGAAUGAGCUUUUCAUUCAUGAUUCUCUCAGACGUAAGAUAGGUAGAUAUGUCACUGGAGCAACUUCCAUCAAACUAUUUUUUAUUUCCACAUAACUAAGAGGGGAUAUCAGCAAAACCAAUUUCCAAGAUAAAUAUUUAAAUGCUAGGAAAUUAAUUUGGAAUAUCAGCACAAUAUUUUAUUCUGCUUUGCCUUUGGCUCAUGAUGUCUCUUAGAAACUGUAGCUGCUAAUACUUAUCACUCAAUAAGGGAGCCUAUAGUUCAUAACAUCACAGGUAACAAUAAAGUAACACAUAUACUGUAUAAACACAUACACACAUUUUAUUUGUGGAGAUGAUUCAAAAGCUGAUAUAUCCCCAAAUGCCUAAAUUGGGGAGCAGGAUAGUAAACCUCACGUGUACCUGUUUUUUGGUAAAGAUUGAGAAAUGGCAAACUCAUUUGUCAUGAAUGAGAAAAGAGAUGGUCAAAAAGAAUACAGAGCCUGACUAACAGGCUGAAAUGAUUGAUGUUAAAAGUAAAACUAACAAAUUUCCUUGUUUUGGUUGUUGGCUAAGUCAUAGAGUCUCUGCAGGGGCUGGCCUACAAUGUUUGAACAGAUUUUCAUCUCAAGUUUUUAAAGACAGUUGUAGACCACCGAUGAUAUGUACAGGGGUCUGCAAACAGUCGCUUCUACUAUUCACAGUCUACCUGUUAAGAUGUGUAAGAGUGUGAAGGUGGAGAGACAGUGAGUUGAAGAGAGUGAUCUAGACUGAUGUGACGCCUGUUGUUUAAGUUAAAAGAGUGAUCCUGUUUACUAGGUACUUUCAGUCAAAUGCUUAGAUGGUUGUCAUAGCAACAGGCUGAAAGUAACCAGGUAACAUGGUCCCUUGUGUAACAGUUACACAGAUAUUUGUCGGCAUAAUACUCCAACAUUGUUUUUCUGGCUAUCCAACAUAAUAUAAGAAUAGAAACCAGUAUUCACAUCAGCACUUCCUAAGUCGUCAUUAAUAGAAUAUUUUGCUUGUGCAAACAUUUCUCAUUUGCUAUCAUAUCUGUGGUUUCUUAAGGUAAUUGUCAUCAGGAAGUGACUGAAAGAUGAUGUUAACUAAUGGCCUGUGACAUAUGCUUUGAAUUGGCAUUUUGUGGCUGUCUCAACCACAUUUUUACAAACCUUUGUCUUUGUGGCUGCUCUGAGCUGUGAAGUAACCACCAAAUGUCAGAUUAUUAAGGUUUACACAAUUAGUUAUCUUGAACACAUCAGUGAGACAUGAUAAAAACACUUGAGCUUCCCAUCCUGAAUGUGUCAUCACCAGAGAUGGCCGCUGUGGUAAUAUGGUCAAUUAUAGUAACCUGUUAAAACAAUCAGAAAAGCAUGAAUAGUAAACAUCAUGCAUUCUCAUGUCUCUCAUAUGACCUAGGAAGUAAUGUAAGGGUUCCUUAUCAACUGGUUUGAAGUUCAGUUUUCAUUUUUUCUCUGUUACUUUUGUCCUCCAGUUGUUUUAGUUACAUUCUGGUCGAGUUCAAAUUGCCCACAGAUGUGUUUGUCAGUGUUAUGCCUGUGAUAUAUGACCAACGUGUCAAAGUGUGUUUCAUCCCUUCUUUAACCCCAAUCUUACACCGCACUUAAACUCAAGAAAUAUUACAGUGCCAAUGGCAAAAAGAGCAGCAUGGGUUGAGCUGAGGUCUAUGGGAGGAUGGUGCUGGAACAAAGGCGGAUAAGUGGGUGGAUUGUUGAACAGCUGUAAAAACGUGACCUCCUUUCUAUAUUCCUUCAAUAAUGACAGAAGUCAAGUAAACCGUUAUUUGACCUCAUGGGUAGAUGACAGAAAAUUGAUUUCUUAAUCAGGGUGUUUGGAUGUAGGUGCUGUGGGUGUUCAGCGUUCAUCAGACUGUAUUGUUGUGAAAUCACUGGUUCUAUCCUGACCUCUGAUCGAUGUGUUAUGAACAUACAUGAAGGUUGAACGAAAUUACUGCGUGUGAGUCACAUCAGAAAGUGGUAGCUGCUCAUAUGUGGACAUGAAUGCAAUCGAAUGCUCAACCCCCCGACAGAGGCAAUCUGUUGAAUGAAUACCAAAUUCAUUGUUCCUCAUGCAAUUCAAAUGGCUUUUUUGUCUUCACGUGAUAAAGAUUUAACAGCAGAGUAUUUCCGUCGUGAAAUCUAUGCCAGUGACAGUGAUGCUUGUGGCUCCAAAGACCAUUAAAGGCUGUGCAAAGCAUUGUUGCAUAGCAUUUUAACCAAGCAGGAGAUUUUGAUAAAUAAGAAUUGAAUUUUGUUCCAGCUGUGACAUGUUGAUUGAUCAAAAAGCUCAUGGCUAAGGCCUCCCUUCUCUCCCGUCUUAUUUAUUCUUUGUCAAAUGGUUUCAGAAUCAAUACUAGCCUUGUACACAACCUUUUCUGCUGCGGGCACUCAUGGAGGGAGGGAGAAGGGAAAAGAAAAACACCUGCUCUCGUGGUGAUUGUUACUAAUUUUUCCUGUCAAACAUUUGAACACAGAAUAAUUAUUUUCUGUGUGGUUUCAGGGCACAACAGAUUAUUGUACAAUCCAUUUAGAUAACUUUUGAGAGGGGCUAGAAAAUGAAACUGCCUCAAACCACACAAGUCUAGCCGGGGAGGUGAUCUAUCAGACACUGCAGCAAAUAACUCAACUUAAAGAUGCUAUAGUCUUGGAUGGAGAGCAAUCCACAUGCUAGAGGAAGGGAAGCAAGUCCCUUGUCACAGUUUAGAUACAGAAAGAGAGGUCCCCUAUUAUGUAUGUCUUUCCUGUAUCAAAAUCAUAAUUUGUGAUGCAGCAGAUAAUGCUCAUGUAUAGCUUUAAAGGUUUAGCUGAUUUUGUUUCAAAAUUUAAUUAUUUGACAUUGGGAAGAAUCUCUAUUGGUAUAAAUUUUCGAAUGAAGAGUGCAGCCUCAUCCAUGUCUCAGCGCUCAUGUUAAUGUCUACAGUAAAAGUACAUCGGGCUCAGUCAUCAGGUAAACUCCUGUUGUGUCCUUUCCAAGUUUCACAUCUACUCUGCAGACAAAAAAAAUCAUCAGCCAGGACGGCAUGAGAAUUUUAGAGCCAUAAGCGUUAAAUGAGAUGAGCUAUUACAGGAACACACAUUGUAUGUUUUGCACCAAUGGGUGCCAACAUACAUUCAAGUCUCUUCCUGUUGAAUUCUUGGCUGUUAUGAUGUGCACUCACUUAUUUGUUUUUUACUGUGCCUCAAUGCACUUUCAUUGUAAACACUGACACCUGCUGUAACAUAAGGAGGAGGUGUUGCUCUGCGAAUGUGCUGGCUCUGGCUUUGCUCUUACCAGGAUGCAGUGACACUGAUGUUGGUCACAACAAUGCAUCUGACAGUUUUUAAAUGUUGUGUGUCACUGUGUGCUCUGAAAUGUCCUCAUCACUUGUACCUUUUGAUAGAAAAGAAAUGAACAGUUUGGGGAUCUGAGGUUACCAUCUAAUCUGUCGCACCGCUCAGUGGAAACUGUAUCGGUUGUUGAUCAUGAAGGUUUUUUAUGCAUAAAAGGCAGUGGGACCAGAGGCCAGAGAUGAAGGAUAUAUUUGAAACAUAUCAUGGUUUGUUGGAUGUGUUUGUGUAAGGGUCUCUCUGACAUUGGCAGGAUGAGGUCUGUGUCUUGUUUUACAUUCUUCUUCUUUUGUUUAUUUUAAUGUCAUCUGUGUUGCCUCAAUGCAAAAACAAAGACAAGAACCACUUUAAAGUAAGUGUGCUCCUGCGAGGCAUGAUAAGUAACUGACCCCAGUGUUUAUAAAAAGAAAUGGACAUUUAUGAGCCAUUUACAAGACACUUGAAACAAGCGGAAUGACUUGUCUCAAAAUUUAAUGAGUUUAUUGAAAUUAAAGAGAAGCAACUCUAUGAUAUGACCAUUAACCUGUCUGUGGUUGGCUCUACAGCUGUAACCCAAGCACAGCUUGUACAUUUUCCCAUUCACUCCCCCCAGGCUAUGGCUAUGGAGAGCAAAGGGAGUGUUUAUCAGACGGGGUGACUCUGCCCUCGAGCCAGUCCCUUUGCAGAGACAGGAGACACAUCAUAACAUUGUCUGUCAAAUGAUUUGUGGUGUUCUCAGUGUAUAAAGGCUUUCAAAGGCAUUUUUGGAUCCAUUUUUUCAGCUAAUGGAAACUCACAAUAGCUCAAUUAUCCUGAAACAAAAGGUAAAACAGAAACAGGCUGUCUUGAGUGUAAUAGAUUGUCCAGGUGUACUGGAAAGUAAAGAGAGGGAAUAGAAACUGUAAGUUGAAGGGAUGGUUUUUGAGCGUCCUGAUGUUGGAAUGAAAAAAAACCCAUCAAAACUUGAAGGGGAUGUUAAAAUAUAUAUAUAAAAAAUAACAUGAAAAAUAAAUAUAUAAAUAGAUGUAAAGCUAAUCACUUGGACAGCUGUGGGACAUUUUAUUUGCUCUGAAAUGUCAGUUGUCUCUAACCAUUAGUGAGGAAGCUUCAGGAAGUGGCUCUCCCUAUGAUUCACAAUUAGUCGGGAUGGAGGGGAGGCUGAGCCAAACCUUGUUCUGCUCUGGUCAGCUCACGUAAUUAUUAUUGUUUUGGAAAUCCAUUACAGUCCAGAUGAUGGAGCUGAAGAGUUUGUUUGAGGAAGGCAGAGUGUUGGUAAAGGUUUAUUCAGCUGCUUGUUCAAAGACAAGGAAAGGUUCAGGGUUUUGUUUCUCUUUUCCUUUUAAAUCCGGGGGUAUAGUCAAACUUUACAAAAAUGCACAGGGUAUUAUUAUAAAAAAAAGUAGUCUUAAAAUGAUCUGCUCUUCACAAAAAAAAACCCCUCUAUCCUAUCUUAAAGCUUUUUGAAUAUCAGAAAGUUCUCUCUAAUGUUCAGUUUUUCCUGCUAUUUUUAUAUCAUCAAUGAUUCAGCCUACUAUAAAUGUGGAAAUCAUGGUCUACAUAGUUUUACUCCCCAGCCCAAUUAUACAUUGUUUAAAAAAAAAAAAAAACUGUACAAGGUUAGCAGACAAGACAGUGAUGUUGUUUCAAGGUGGGCUUGGGAUAUGGUUUGGGCAGGUUUUUUAUUUAGGGUCUUAAUCCAAGAAGAAAAUCUUUGUUCAAUUAGUUGAGUUGAUUAUUCAUUUGAAAGCCAGUGGUUAUAGUGGAUGUGCUGUCAGCAUCCUCAUUAUUCCUUUUAGAGGAUAAGAGCGCUUUGUCAAGAUGCACGAUGAGCCGAUGAUGUGUACCUCUUAGCAGUAUGACAUCUUCAUCCAUCAUGGAAAUUUUGGAUCUCUCAAUCUUCACACCCCUAACUCUCAAUCAUAGCUCAUGCAGCCGCUGACAGGCAGUCACUGUUACAUGCAGGAGGAGCCGCAGAUGAGCUCUCCAUUAAUGAAAAAAUAACAUAUCACACAAUACAAAUGGGUGCGAAGAAGUGAGAGCACUUCAGAAAUGCCCAGAUAAUUAGACUGUCCGGCAGCAGAUUGAUGGAUGCACUAUAAUUACCUUUGUGUUAUUAUUUCAGGGCCAGACAAAAAGAAAAGCUGGUUUCUCUACUUUGAGCCGCACUGAUUCAUUAAUCUCAUUAAUGUGUGGAAUUAAUAUCAUUUUAUCAGACAUUCCAGAGCUGCUGCUGGUGUGUGUGGCCAGAGCCAUGAUUCAGACCUGUCAGACAGAGGGGAUGCAUCAAUCUAAUCCCACACACCAUCGGCUCAUCUGCCUUCCAGUCACGAGAUGGGUGAAAAGUGUAUACAACAAAUAUGGGGCUGUGUUUCCUUUUGUUCAAUGCCAGACUAUUGUGAAAGUGUCACUUUACUUCUCUUUUCUGCACAAUGUGAGGAUGUGUCUGCCACUGUCAGUGUCAUGUUGUUUCUUUAAAAUUUGAACACAUAACAGUUACUAACUAGAAAAAUUGCAUUUCCUUGCAGAAAAUGCGUGGAAAUGCUGAGUGCUGAAAGCUGAAAAAGCAAUGCUAAACUGCUAAUAAAACAUGGAGAAAGGUAUAAAUGUUAAAGCUGUUGAAGGGGUGAAAAAGAAAUAUAAGUUGGAUAAUUGUUUAAUUGGUUGAAGGACAAAUAGUAUGAAUAUGCUCUAUAAAAGGAAAUUUUAUUCAUGCUGAAAGAGGCUAGAAAAAUGUCUAAAAUUGCACAAAGUUUGAAUGAAGAAGGAAAUUGCCUUUAAAGGCAGGAAGGUGGGAAGUGGCAUAAGUUUAAUUUUUUAAGUAUUAGAAAGGUUUGAAUCAGUUUGAAUCAGUUCAAAUUAGUUUGAAAAAUUAAAUGAUAAAUCAUCACUGAGUGACUUUAAAAUGUGAAAAAUCUAAAUGUAUAUAAAUUCUAAAUACACCCCAUAAUGUCCUCAAUGAGCUCAAAUUUUAAAGCCCUGAAUGGUUUCUGUAGGUCAAAGGUCAUGUGAGGAGAUAGGGGCUGAAGUUCUUUCAAGCGCUCUAGUAAAGGGUUUUAAGUGUCAUCCCCAGUGCUAUGUGUGCUGAGCCUGGCUUCAUGUGUCUCAUAUGGCCAUUAGAAGCAGCUUUCCAGUCAGCUGUGUGUCUCCAGGUGCACUAAUUGGUUGCCAUGGGGACCUUGGAUGCAUAACUAUAGCAGGAGAAAGAAGGCUUGAAGCUAAGGAAACAGGACUCCAAGUAGGCCCUGACGCUCAUCCUCUGUAUCUAUUCCUGAUAAGGAGCUUAUGAGAACACAAGACUCUGCUGAACACAUUAAUACAAUUUAUUAUCACAAUCCUCAAAACACCCCAUAAUAUCUUCAAUGAGCUGAAUUUUAGAAGCCCAGAAUGGUUUCUGUAGCUCAAAGUUUGUGGGUGGAGAUAGGUGGCGAAGCAGACACAUAUUAACUGUGUGUACAAGCAGCUGAACUGCAAGGUAGACCUCAUAAAGCAACAAGUACAAGAGUGUGUGUGUGUGUGUGUGUGUGUCGUUAAUGACUGCAUCCUAAACAGCUGUGAGAUCAAAGGCAAAUCACUGACCUACUGUUUGAAUGAGAAGCAGCUGAACUGCAGAGGAUUUAGAGGCUCUAAACUUCUUCACAUAGCGUGAUUUCCUUAAGUCACAGAAUGAAAAUAAGAACAUCGUACGAAUCCUCCGCCCUUCAUGAACACAAUGAUGUCUUUUUCAUGUCUGUACUUCGAAAAAUGAGGCCACAACAGCGAGUUAAAAAAGUCUGAGCCUGAGUGGCGAUAAGGAUUUUCUUGGAGAAAAAAUACAUUAUGGUCAAUGGGAGAGAUUUCCGCCUUUUUUGGACAGUUGGUCACCUGCUGGCCAAGGGGUACGAUUUAAUGAUUUGAAACCUCUUUUGUGAGAAGCAGGACACAUAUACCUCCAUUUUGAUGUAUUAUUUGUGUCAGUGGAGUGAGAUUUGUGGGCGUGGGAGCGAUAUAUUCGAGCGAGGUUCUGUCGAUCAGAGACGAGGUCUGCACUCUAGCUGAUGACAUCAUCACUCUAAACUCUCCAAUACACACCCAUUAUAAAGCUUGAAAUUUGCUGAAAACCACAAGUUGCUUAAAGCUAAAUUGUGGAAAAACUGUAAGAGAUAUCAAAAAACUGAGUACAACUGUAAUAGUCGACAAGUGAAUGAACAUUUUAAAGCAAAAAUGAGGUCUCUAGGUGAAAGUAUGCAGAAGUUACAAGGUUCAGAAGGUGGAAGAAAAACAGGAAGAAUUGGAAGAUUUCCCCAUUGACUUCAAUGUUAAAAUUUUUGCAUAAAAAGUUAAAAAAAUCAAAAAGUAUAAAGGGUAGAAAAGUGAAAAGUAAUCGCCGUCAUGUCCUGAAGGAGAGGAAUAGUUUAAAGUUUGAACGGUUGAAAUCGCACAAAGUGGAGAAGAGUUAUAAAGUGCCAAAAAAUGGCGGAAGAAAAAUAAUAAUAAUAAUAAUAACUAGAAAAUUUGCAUUUCCUUGCAGAAAAUGCGUGGAAAUGCUGAGUGCUGAAAGCUGAAAAAGCAAUGCUAAACUGCUAAUAAAACAUGGAGAAAGGUAUAAAUGUAAAAGCUGUUGAAGGGGUAAAAAAAUAUAUAUAAGUUAAAUAAUUGUGAAAAUGGUUGGAGGAUAAAUAGUAUGAAUAUGCUCCUCAAAUUGAAAUUUGAUUCAUGCUGAUAGAGGCUGGAAAAUGUUCUACAAUUACACAAAGUUUGAAUGAAGAAGUAAAUUACCUUAAAAGGCAAGUAAGUGAAAAGUGGCAUAAGUUUAAGUUGUAGUACUAGAAGUAGUAUGAUAAUAGGUAGUUGUAGUAGUGAUAUUAGUAGUCAUGUAAGCAGUAGAAGUAGUUUUAGAAUUGAAGAAGUAGAAGUCAAAGCAGUAGAGCUCGUGGUAGAAGUAAGAGUAGAAGUAAAAAAAUAUUAAGAGAAGCAAGAGCAGUGGAGGUGGAAGUGAAGAUACAAGUUAAGGUGACAUAAGUAGUAAUUGUAGUGGUAGAACUGGGAUUUUGCUUGAAGAAUUAAAACAUACAUAAAUAAUGAGAAUGAUUUUGAAGUGGGAAAAACUUAAAAAUUAGACGUCCUAAUGUGUUUAACAGGUUUGAAGUAUCCCAAAGGUUUGAAUCAGUUUGAAUGAGUUUGGAUUUGUCUGAAGAAUUUCAUAAUGCAUGAAUAAUGAGAAUAAUUUUAAAGUGGGAAAAAGUUAAAUGAAUAAAAAUCCUGAGUACACCCCAUAUUGUCCUCAAUGAGCUGAAUUUUUGGAGCCCUGAAUGGUUUCUGUAGGUCAAAGUUUGUAGUCCUCGCUUUGUGGGUCUUUUCUCAUAGACCUCACAAAGCAGCAAGUACAAGAUUUUGUGUGUGUGUCUCGUUAAUGACUGCAUCCUAAACAGCUGUGAGAUCAAAGGCAUUAACUGACCUACUGUUUGACUGAGAAGCAGCUGAACUGCAGAGGAUGUAAAGCCUCUGAACUUCUUCACAUUGUGUGAUUUCCUUAAGUCCCAGAAUGAAAAUAAGAACAUCGUACGAAUCCUCCGUCCUUCAUGAACACAAUGAUGUGUUUUUCAUGUCUGUACUUCGAAAAAUGAGGCCACAACAGCGAGUUAAAAAAGUCUGAGCUUGAGCGAUGAUCCGGAUUUUCUUGGAGAAAAAUAACAUUACAGUCAAUGGGAGAGAUUUCCGCCUUUUUUGGACAGUUGGUCACCUGCUGGCCAAGGGGUACGAUUUAAUGAUUUGAAACCUCUUUUGUGAGAAGCAGGACACAUAUACCUCCAUUUUGAUGUAUUAUUUGUGUCAGUGGAGUGAGAUUUGUGGGCGUGGGAGCGAUAUAUUCGAGCGAGGUUCUGUCGAUCAGAGACGAGGUCUGCACUCUAGCUGAUGACAUCAUCACUCUAAACUCUCCAAUACACACCCAUUAUAAAGCUUGAAAUUUGCUGAAAACCACAAGUUGCUUAAAGCUAAAUUGUGGAAAAACUGUAAGAGAUAUCAAAAAACUGAGUACAACUGUAAUAGUCGACAAGUGAAUGAACAUUUUAAAACAAAAAUGAGGUCUCUAGGUGAAAGUAUGCAGAAGUUACAAGGUUCAGAAGGUGGAAGAAAAACAGGAAGAAUUGGAAGAUUUCCCCAUUGACUUCAAUGUUAAAAUUUUUGCAUAAAAAGUUAAAAAAAUCAAAAAGUAUAAAGGGUAGAAAAGUGAAAAGUAAUCGCCGUCAUGUCCUGAAGGAGAGGAAUAGUUUAAAGUUUGAACGGUUGAAAUCGCACAAAGUGGAGAAGAGUUAUAAAGUGCCAAAAAAUGGCGGAAGAAAAAUAAUAAUAACUAGAAAAUUUGCAUUUCCUUGCAGAAAAUGCGUGGAAAUGCUGAGUGCUGAAAGCUGAAAAAGCAAUGCUAAACUGCUAAUAAAACAUGGAGAAAGGUAUAAAUGUAAAAGCUGUUGAAGGGGUAAAAAAAUAUAUAUAAGUUAAAUAAUUGUGAAAAUGGUUGGAGGAUAAAUAGUAUGAAUAUGCUCCUCAAAUUGAAAUUUGAUUCAUGCUGAUAGAGGCUGGAAAAUGUUCUACAAUUACACAAAGUUUGAAUGAAGAAGUAAAUUACCUUAAAAGGCAAGUAAGUGAAAAGUGGCAUAAGUUUAAGUUGUAGUACUAGAAGUAGUAUGAUAAUAGGUAGUUGUAGUAGUGAUAUUAGUAGUCAUGUAAGCAGUAGAAGUAGUUUUAGAAUUGAAGAAGUAGAAGUCAAAGCAGUAGAGCUCGUGGUAGAAGUAAGAGUAGAAGUAAAAAAAUAUUAAGAGAAGCAAGAGCAGUGGAGGUGGAAGUGAAGAUACAAGUUAAGGUGACAUAAGUAGUAAUUGUAGUGGUAGAACUGGGAUUUUGCUUGAAGAAUUAAAAAAUACAUAAAUAAUGAGAAUGAUUUUGAAGUGGGAAAAACUCAAAAAAUUAGACGUCCUAAUGUGUUUAACAGGUUUGAAGUAUCCCAAAGGUUUGAAUCAGUUUGAAUGAGUUUGGAUUUGUCUGAAGAAUUUCAUAAUGCAUGAAUAAUGAGAAUAAUUUUAAAGUGGGAAAAAGUUAAAUGAAUAAAAAUCCUGAGUACACCCCAUAUUGUCCUCAAUGAGCUGAAUUUUUGGAGCCCUGAAUGGUUUCUGUAGGUCAAAGUUUGUAGUCCUCGCUUUGUGGGUCUUUUCUCAUAGACCUCGCAAAGCAGCAAGUACAAGAUUUUGUGUGUGUGUCUCGUUAAUGACUGCAUCCUAAACAGCUGUGAGAUCAAAGGCAUUAACUGACCUACUGUUUGACUGAGAAGCAGCUGAACUGCAGAGGAUGUAAAGCCUCUGAACUUCUUCACAUAGCGUGAUUUCCUUAAGUCCCAGAAUGAAAAUAAGAACAUUGUACGAAUCCUCCGCCCUUCAUGAACACAAUGAUGUGUUUUUCAUGUCUGUACUCCAAGAAAUGUGGCCACAACAGUGAGUUAAAAAAGUCUGAGCCUGAGUGGCGAUAAGGAUUUUCUUGGAGAAAAAAUACAUUAGGGCUAAUGGGAGAGAUUUCCGCCUAUUUGAACAGUUGGUCACCUGCUGGCCAAGGGGUAGGAUUUAAUGAUUUGAAACCUCUUUUGUGAGAAGCAGGACACAUAUACCUCCAUUUUGAUGUAUUUUUUAUGUCUGUGGAGUGAGAUUUGUAGGCGUGGGAGCGAUAUAUUCGAGCGAGGUUCUGUCGAUCAGAGACGAAGUCUGCACUCUAGCUUUUCAAAUUGUCACUCUAGCCUCUCCAAUACACACCCAUUAUAAAGCUUGAAAUUUGCUGAAAACCACAAGUUGCUUAAAGCUAAAUUGUGGAAGAACUGUAAAAGAUAUCAAAAAACUGACUACAACUGUAAUAGUCGACAAGACAAUGAACAUUUUAAAGCAAAAAUGAGGUCUCUAGGUGAAAGUAUGCAGAAGUUAUAAGGUUCAGAAGGUGGAAGAAUAACAGGAAGAAUUGGAAGAUUUCCCCAUUGACUUCAAUGUUAAAAUUUUUGCAUAAAAAGUUAAAAAAAUCAAAAAGUAUAAAGGGUAGAAAAGUGAAAAGUAAUCGCCGUCAUGUCCUGAAGGAGAGGAAUAGUUUAAAGUUUGAACGGUUGAAAUCGCACAAAGUGGAGAAGAGUUAUAAAGUGCCAAAAAAUGGCGGAAGAAAAAUAAUAAUAAUAACUAGAAAAAUUGCAUUUCCUUGCAGAAAAUGCGUGGAAAUGCUGAGUGCUGAAAGCUGAAAAAGCAAUGCUAAACUGCUCAUAAAACAUGGAGAAAGGUAUAAAUGUUAAAGCUGUUGAAGGGGUGAGAAAGAAAUGUAAGUUGGAUAAUUGAUUAAUUGGUUGAAGGACAAAUAGUAUGAAUAUGCUCUAUAAAUGGAAGUUUUAUUCAUGCUGAAAGAGGCUAGAAAAAUGUCUACAAUUGCACAAAGUUUGAAUGAAGAAGGAAACUGCCUUAAAAGGCAGGAAGGUGAGAAGUGGCAUAAGUUUAAGUUGUAGUACUAGAAGUAGUAUAAUAGGUCAAGUCGUGAUACUAGUAGUCAUGUCAGCAGUAGAAGUAGUUUGAGAAUAAAAGAAGUAUAAAUCACAAUAGUAGAGAAAGUAGAAAUAGGAGCAAUAGCAGUUGAAGUAGAGGGGAUAGUACUAGUUUAAUUGACAUUAGCGGUAGUUGUCGUACUUGAGGUAGGAUUUUGUUUGAAGGAUGGAGUAAAGCAUAAAUAUUAAAACUUAUUUCAAACAGGGAAAAUUUAAAUAAUUAAAAAUCCUCAAGUAUCAGAAAGUUUUAAAGUAUUAGAAAGGUUUGAAUCAGUUUGAAUGAGUUUAAAUUAGUUUGAAAAAUUAAAUGAUAAAUCAUCACUGAGUGACUUUAAAAUGUGAAAAAUUUAAAUGAAUAUAAAUCCUGAAUACACCCCAUAAUGUCCUCAAUGAGCUUAAAUUUUAAAGCCCUGAAUGGUUUCUGUAGGUCAAAGGUCAUGUGAGGAGAUAGGGGCUGAAGUUUUUUCAAGCGCUCUAGGAAAGGGUUUUAAGUGUCAUCCCCAGUGCUAUGUGUACUGAGCCUGGCUUCAUGUGUCUCAUAUGGCCACUAGAAGCAGCUUUCCAGUCAGCUGUGUGUCUCCAGGUGCACAAAUUGGUUGCCAUGGGGACCUUGGAUGCAUAACUAUAGCAGGAGAAAGAAGGCUUGAAGCUAAAGAAACAGGACUCCAAGAAGGCCCUGACGCUCACCCUCUGUAUAUAUUCAUAAGGAGCUUGUGAGAACACAAGACUCUGCUGAACACAUUAAUACAAUUUAUCACAAUCCUCAAAACACCCCAUAAUAUCUUCAAUGAGCUGAAUUUUUGAAGCCCAGAAUGGUUUCUGUAGCUCAAAGUUUGUGGGUGGAGAUAGGUGGCGAAGCAGACACAUAUUAACUGUGUGUACAAGCAGCUGAACUGCGAGGUGGACCUAAAAAAGCAACAAGUACAAGAAUGUGUGUGUGUGUGUGUCUCGUUAAUGACUGCAUCCUAAACAGCUGUGAGAUCAAAGGCAAAUCACUAACCUACUGUUUGACUGAGAGGUGCUGAACUGCAGUGAAUUUCAGCCUGUGAACUUCUUCACAUAGCGUGAUUUCCUUAAGUCCCAGAAUGAAAAUAAGAACAUCGUACGAAUCCUCCGUCCUUCAUGAACACAAUGAUGUGUUUUUCAUGUCUGUACUUCGAAAAAUGAGGCCACAACAGCGAGUUAAAAAAGUCUGAGCUUGAGCGAUGAUCCGGAUUUUCUUGGAGAAAAAUAACAUUACAGUCAAUGGGAGAGAUUUCCGCCUUUUUUGGACAGUUGGUCACCUGCUGGCCAAGGGGUACGAUUUAAUGAUUUGAAACCUCUUUUGUGAGAAGCAGGACACAUAUACCUCCAUUUUGAUGUAUUAUUUGUGUCAGUGGAGUGAGAUUUGUGGGCGUGGGAGCGAUAUAUUCGAGCGAGGUUCUGUCGAUCAGAGACGAGGUCUGCACUCUAGCUGAUGACAUCAUCACUCUAAACUCUCCAAUACACACCCAUUAUAAAGCUUGAAAUUUGCUGAAAACCACAAGUUGCUUAAAGCUAAAUUGUGGAAAAACUGUAAGAGAUAUCAAAAAACUGAGUACAACUGUAAUAGUCGACAAGUGAAUGAACAUUUUAAAGCAAAAAUGAGGUCUCUAGGUGAAAGUAUGCAGAAGUUACAAGGUUCAGAAGGUGGAAGAAAAACAGGAAGAAUUGGAAGAUUUCCCCAUUGACUUCAAUGUUAAAAUUUUUGCAUAAAAAGUUAAAAAAAUCAAAAAGUAUAAAGGGUAGAAAAGUGAAAAGUAAUCGCCGUCAUGUCCUGAAGGAGAGGAAUAGUUUAAAGUUUGAACGGUUGAAAUCGCACAAAGUGGAGAAGAGUUAUAAAGUGCCAAAAAAUGGCGGAAGAAAAAUAAUAAUAAUAAUAAUAAUAAUAAAGAAACAGGAGAAUAACAAUAAGUGGAAAUGCCUAUCAGCAUUUCCACUUAAUAACUAGAAAAAUUGCAUUUCCUUGCAGAAAAUGCGUGGAAAUGCUGAGUGCUGAAAGCUGAAAAAGCAAUGCUAAACUGCUAAUAAAACAUGGAGAAAGGUAUAAAUGUUAAAGCUGUUGAAGGGGUGAAAAAGAAAUAUAAGUUGGAUAAUAGUUUAAUUGGUUGAAGGACAAAUAGUAUGAAUAUGCUCUAUAAAAGGAAAUUUUAUUCAUGCUGAAAGAGGCUAGAAAAAUGUCUAAAAUUGCACAAAGUUUGAAUGAAGAAGGAAACUGCCUUUAAAGGCAGGAAGGUGAGAAGUGGCACAAGUUUAAGUUGUAGUACUAGAAGAAGUAUGAUAAGAAGUCAAGUCGUGAUACUAGUAGUCAUGUCAGCAGUAGAAGUAGAUUGAGAAUAAAAGAAGUAUAAGUCAAAGUAGUAAAGAAAGUAGAAAUAGUAGCAAUAGCAGCAGUAGAGAAAGUAGAAAUAGGAGCAAUAGCAGUUGAAGUAGAGGGGAAAGUUCUAGUUUAAUUGACAUAAGUAGUUGUAGUACUAGAGGUAGGAUUUUGUUUGAAGGACGGAUUAAUGCAUAAAUAUUAAAAAUAAUAUAAAACAGGGAAAAUUUUAUUAAUUAAAAAUCCUCAAGUAUCAGACAGUUUUUAAGUAUUAGAAAGGUUUGAAUCAUUUUGAAUGAGUUUAAAUUAGUUUGAAAAAUUAAAUGAUAAAUUAUCACUGAGUGACUUUAAAAUGUGAAACAUUUAAAUGAAUAUAAAUCCUAAAUACACCCCAUAAUGUCCUCAAUGAGCUUAAAUUUUAAAGCCCUGAAUGGUUUCUGUAGGUCAAAGGUCAUGUGAGGAGAUAGGGGCUGAAGGUUUUUCAAGCGCUCUAGGAAAGGGUUUUAAGUGUCAUCCCCAGUGCUAUGUGUACUGAGCCUGGCUUCAUGUGUCUCAUAUGGCUAUUAGAAGCAGCUUUCCAGUCAGCUGUGUGUCUCCAGGUGCACAAAUUGGUUGCCAUGGGGACCUUGGAUGAAUAACUAUAGCAGGAGAAAGAAGGCUUGAAGCUAAGGAAACAGGACUCCAAGUAGGCCCUGACGCUCAUCCUCUGUAUAAAUUCAUAAGGAGCUUGUGAGAACACAAGAUUUUGCUGAACACAUUAAUACAAUUUAUUAUCACAAUCCUCAAAACACCCCAUAAUAUCUUCAAUGAGCUGAAUUUUUCAAGCCCAGAAUGGUUUCUGUAGCUCAAAGUUUGUGGGCGGAGAUAGGUGGUGAAGCAGACACAUAUUAUCUGUGUGUACAAGCAGGUGAACUGCAAGGUAGACCUGACAAUGCAACAAGUACAAGAAUGUGUGUGUGUGUGUGUGUGUGUGUGUGUGUGUCUCAUUAAUGACUGCAUCCCUAACAGCUGUGAGAUCAAAGGCAAAUCACUGACCUACUGUUUGAAUGACAAGCAGCUGAACAGCAGAGGAUUAGAAGCCUGUGAACUUCUUCACAUAGCGUGAUUUCCUUAAGUCCCAGAAUGAAAAUAAGAACAUCGUACGAAUCCUCCGCCCUUCAUGAACACAAUGAUGUCUUUUUCAUGUCUGUACUCCGAAAAAUGUGGCCACAACAGCGAGUUAAAAAAGUCUGAGCCUGAGUGACGAUAAGGAUUUUCUUGGAGAAGAAAUACAUUAGGGCCAAUGGGGAGAUAUUUGCGCCUAUCUGGACAGUUGGUCACCUGCUGGCCAAGGGGUACGAUUUAAUGAUUUGAAACCUCUUUUGUGAGAAGCAGGACACAUAUACCUCCAUUUUGAUGUAUUAUUUGUGUCAGUGGAGUGAGAUUUGUGGGCGUGGGAGCGAUAUAUUCGAGCGAGGUUCUGUCGAUCAGAGACGAGGUCUGCACUCUAGCUGAUGACAUCAUCACUCUAAACUCUCCAAUACACACCCAUUAUAAAGCUUGAAAUUAGCUGAAAAACACAAGUUGCAUAAAGCUAAAUUGUGGAAAAACUGUAAAAGAUAUCAAAAAACUGAGUACAACUAUAAUAGUCGACAAGUGAAUGAACAUUUUAAAGCAAAAAUGAGGUCUCUAGGUGAAAGUAUGCUGAAGUUAUAAGGUCUAGAAGGUGGAAGAAUGAAAGGAAGAAGUUGAAGAUUUCCUCAUUGACUUCAAUGUUAAAAUUUUUGCACAAAAAGUUAAAAAAAACAAAAAGUAUAAAGGGUAGAAAGAAAAAAAAUACACGCCAUCAUGUCCUGAAGGAGUGGAAUAGUUUAAAGUUUGAAUGGUUGAAAUCGGACAAAGUUUGAAGGAGGAGAAGCGCGGCAAAAAUCGGCGGAAGAAUAAUAAUAACUAGAAAAAUUGCAUUUCCUUGCAGAAAAUGCGUGGAAAUGCUGAGUGCUGAAAGCUGAAAAAGCAAUGCUAAACUGCUAAUAAAACAUGGAGAAAGGUAUAAAUGUUAAGGCUGUUGAAGGAGUGAAAAAGAAAUAUAGGUUGGACAAUUGUUUAAUUGGUUGAAGGACAAAUAGUAUGAAUAUGCUCUAUAAAAGGAAAUUUUAUUCAUGCUGAAAGAGGCUAGAAAAAUGUCUAAAAUUGCACAAAGUUUGAAUGAAAAAGGAAAUUGCCUUAAAAGGCAGGAAGGUGAGAAGUGGAAUAAGUCUAAGUUUUUAUGUAUUAGAAAGGUUUGAAUCAGUUUGAAUGAGUUUAAAUUAGUUAGAAAAAUUAAAUGAUAAAUCAUCACCGAGUGACUUAUAAAAGUGAAAAAUUUAAAUGAAUAUAAAUCUGAAUACACUCCAUAGUGUCCUCAAUGAGCUUAAAUUUUAAAGUCCUGAAUGGUUUCUGUAGGUCAAAGGUCAUGUGAGGACAUAGGGGCUGACGUUUUUUCAAACGCUCUAGGAAAGGGUUUUAAGUGUCAUCCCCAGUGCUAUGUGUACUGAGCUUGGCUUCAUGUGUCUCAUAUGGCCAUUAGAAGCAGCUUUCCAGUCAGCUGUGUGUCUCCAGGUGCACAAAUUGGUUGCCAUGGGGACCUUGGAUGCAUGACUUUAGCAGGAGAAAGAAGGCUUGAAGCUAAGGAAACAGGACUCCAAGUAGGCCCUGACGCUCAUCCUCUGUAUAUAUAUUAAUAAGGAGCUUGUGAGAACACAAGACUCUGCUGAACACAUUAAUACAAUUUAUUAUCACAAUCCUCAAAACACCCCAUAAUAUCUUCAGUGAGCUGAAUAUUUGAAGCCCAGAAUGGUUUCUGUAGCUCAAAGUUUGUGGGUGGAGAUAGGUGGCGAAGCAGACACAUAUCAACUGUGUGUACAAGCAGCUCAACUGCAAGGUAGACCUCAUAAAGCAACAAGUACAAGAAUGUGUGUGUGUGUGUGUGUGUGUCUCGUUAAUGACUGCAUCCUAAACAGCUGUGAGAUCAAAGGCAAAUCACUAACCUACUGUUUGACUGAGAGGUGCUGAACUGCAGUGAACUUAGGGCCUGUGAACUUCUUCACAUAGCGUGAUUUCCUUAAAUCCCAGAAUGAAAAUAAGAACAUUGUACGAAUCCUCCGUCCUUCAUGAACACAAUGAUGUGUUUUUUAUGUCUCUACUCCGAAAAAUGUGGCCACAACAGCGAGUUAAAAAGUCUGAGCCUGAGUGGCGAUAAGGAUUUUCUUGGAGAAAAAAUACAUUAGGGCCAAUGGGGAGAGAUUUCCGCCUAUUUGGACAGUUGGUCACCUGCUGGCCAAGGGGUAGGAUUUAAUGAUUUGAAACCUCUUUUGUGAGAAGCAGGACACAUAUACCUCCAUUUUGAUGUAUUUUUUAUGGCUGUGGAGUGAGAUUUGUGGGCGUGGGAGCGAUAUAUUCAAGCGAGGUUCUGUCGAUCAGGGAGGAGGUCUGCACUCUAGCUUUUCAAAUCCUCACUCUAGCCUCUCCAAUACACCCCUAUUGUAAAGCCUGAAAUUUGCUGAAAACCACAAGUUGCAUAAAGCUAAACUGUGGAAAAACUGUAAAAGAUAGCACAAAGAGGUUAAUACAACAUCAAUAGUCGACAAGACAAUGAACAUUUUAAAGCAAAAAUGAGGUCUCUAGGUGAAAGUAUGCUGAAGUUAUAAGGCUUAGAAGGUGGACGAAUAACAGGAAGAAGUGGAAGAUUUCCCCAUUCAUUCCUAUGGGAAAAAAAGUUUGGCACAAAAAGUGAAAAAUAAUAAAAAGUACAAAGGAUAGAAAGGAAAAAAAUACAAGCACACAUGUCCUGAUGGAGUGGAAUAGUUUAAAGUUUAAACGGUUGAAAUCGGACAAAUUUUGAAGGAGGAGAAGCGGUCCAAAGAAAUGUAUGGGGAGAGUGUUAAGUAUAAUACUAGAAAAAUUGCAUUUCCUUGCAGAAAAUGCGUGGAAAUGCUGAGUGCUGAAAGCUGAAAAAGCAAUGCUAAACUGCUAAUAAAACAUGGAGAAAGGUAUAAAUGUUAAAGCUGUUGAAGGGGUGAAAAAGAAAUAUAAGUUGGAUAAUGGUCUAAUUGGUUGAAGGACAAAUAGUAUGAAUAUGCUCUAUAAAUGGAAGUUUUAUUCAUGCUGAAAGAGGCUAGAAAAAUGUCUACAAUUGCACAAAGUUUGAAUGAAGAAGGAAACUUCCUUAAAAGGCAGGAAGGUGAGAAGUGGCAUAAGUUUAAGUUGUAGUACUAGAAGUAGUAUAAUAGGUCAAGUCGUGAUACUAGUAGUCAUGUCAGCAGUAGAAGUAGUUUGAGAAUAAAAGAAGUAUAAGUCACAAUAGUAGAGAAAGUAGAAAUAGGAGCAAUAGCAGUUGAAGUAGAGGGGAUAGUACUAGUUUAAUUGACAUUAGCGGUAGUUGUCGUACUUGAGGUAGGAUUUUGUUUGAAGGAUGGAGUAAUGCAUAAAUAUUAAAACUUAUUUCAAACAGGGAAAAUUGAAAUAAUUAAAAAUCCUCAAGAAUCAGAAAGUUUUUAAGUAUUAGAAAGGUUUGAAUCAGUUUGAAUGAGUUUCAAUUAGUUUGAAAAAAUAAAUGAUAAAUCAUCACUGAGUGACUUUAAAAUGUGAAAAAUUUAAAUGAAUAUAAAUCCUAAAUACACCCCAUAAUGUCCUCAAUGAGCUUAAAUUUUAAAGCCCUGAAUGGUUUCUGUAGGUCAAAGGUCAUGUGAGGAGAUAGGGGCUGAAGUUUUUUCAAGCGCUCUAGGAAAGGGUUUUAAGUGUCAUCCCCAGUGCUGUGUGUACUGAGCCUGGCUUCAUGUGUCUCAUAUGGCCAUUAGAAGCAGCUUUCCAGUCAGCUGUGUGUCUCCAGGUGCACAAGUUGGUUGCCAUGGGGACCUUGGAUGCAUAACUAUAGCAGGAGAAAGAAGGCUUGAAGCUAAAGAAACAGGACUCCAAGUAGGCCCUGACGCUCACCCUCUGUAUAUAUUCAUAAGGAGCUUGUGAGAACACAAGACUCUGCUGAACACAUUAAUACAAUUUAUUAUCACAAUCCUCAAAACACCCCAUAAUAUCUUCAAUGAGCUGAAUUUUUGAAGCCCAGAAUGGUUUCUGUAGCUCAAAGUUUGUGGGUGGAGAUAGGUGGUAAAGCAGACACAUAUUAACUGUGUGUAAAAGCAGCUGAACUGCAAGGUGGACCUCAAAAAGCAACAAGUACAAGAAUGUGUGUGCGUGUGUGUGUGUGUGUGUGUCUCGUUAAUGACUGCAUCCUAAACAGCUGUGAGAUCAAAGGCAAAUCACUGACCUACUGUUUGACUGAGAGGUGCUGAACUGCAGUGAAUUAAGGGUUCUGAACUUCUUCACAUAGCACGAUUUCCUUAAGUCCCAGAAUGAAAAUAAGAACAUCGUACAAAUCCUCCGCCCUUCAUGAACACAAUGAUGUGUUUUUCAUGUCUGUACUCCGAAAAAUGUGGCCACAACAGCGAGUUAAAAAAGUCUGAGCCUGAGUGGCGAUAAGGAUUUUCUUGGAGAAAAAAUACAUUAGAGCCAAUGGGGAGAGAUUUCCGCCUAUUUGGACAGUUGGUCACCUGCUGGCCAAGGGGUAAGAUUUAAUGAUUUGAAACCUCUUUUGUGAGAAGCAGGACACAUAUACCUCCAUUUUGAUGUAUUUUUUAUGGCUGUGGAGUGAGAUUUGUGGGCGUGGGAGCGAUAUAUUCGAGCGAGGUUCUGUCGAUCAGAGAGGAGGUCUGCACUCUAGCUUUUCAAAUCAUCACUCUAGCCUCUCCAAUACACCCCUAUUAUAAAGCCUGAAAUUAGCUGAAAACCACAAGUUGCAUAAAGCUAAAUUGUGGAAAAACUGUAAAAGAUAGCACAAAAAGGUUAAUACAACAUCAAUAGUCGACAAGACAAUGAACAUUUUAAAGCAAAAAUGAGGUCUCUAGGUGAAAGUAUGCUGAAGUUAUAAGGCUUAGAAGGUGGACGAAUAACAGGAAGAAUUGGAAGAUUUCCCCAUUCAUUUCUAUGGGAAAAAAAGUUUGGCACAAAAAGUGAAAAAUAAUAAAAAGUAUAAAGGAUAGAAAAGAGAAAAGUAAUAGCCAUCAUGUCCUGAAGGAGUGGAAUAGUUUAAAGUUUGAACGGUUGAAAUCGGACAAAGUUUGAAGGAGGAGAAGCGGUCCAAAGAAACGUAUGGGGAGAGUGUUAAGUAUAAUACUAGAAAAAUUGCAUUUCCUUGCAGAAAAUGCGUGGAAAUGCUGAGUGCUGAAAGCUGAAAAAGCAAUGCUAAACUGCUAAUAAAACAUGGAGAAAUGUAUAAAUGUUAAAGCUGUUGAAGGGGUGUGAAAGAAAUGUAAGUUGGAUAAUUGAUUAAUUGGUUGAAGGACAAAUAGUAUGAAUAUGCUCUAUAAAAAGAAAUUUUAUUCAUGCUGAAAGAGGCUAGAAAAAUGUCUAAAAUUGCACAAAGUUUGAAUGAAGAAGGAAAUUGCCUCAAAAGGCAGGAAAGUGAGAAGUGGUAUAAGAUUAAUUUUUUAAGUAUUAGAAAGGUUUGAAUCAGUUUAAAUGAGUUCAAAUUAGUUUGAAUAAUUAAAUGAUAAAUCAUCACUGACUGACUUUUAAAAUGUGAAAAAUUUAAAUGAAUAACAAUCCUAAAUACACCCAAUAAUGUCCUCAAUGAGCUCAAAUUUUAAAGCCCUGAAUGGUUUCUGUAGGUCAAAGGUCAUGUGAGGAGAUAGGGGCUGAAGGUUUUUCAAGCGCUCUAGGAAAGGGUUUUAAGUGUCAUCCCCAGUGCUAUGUGUGCUGAGCCUAGCUUCAUGUGUCUCAUAUGGCCAUUAGAAGCAGCUUUCCAGUCAGCUGUGUGUCUCCAGGUGCACUAAUUGGUUGCCAUGGGGACCUUGGAUGCAUAACUAUAGCAGGAGAAAGAAGGCUUGAAGCUAAGGAAACAGGGCUCCAAGUAGGCCCUGACGCUCAUCCUCUGUAUCUAUUCCUGAUAAGGAGCUUGUGAGAACACAAGACUCUGCUAAACACAUUAAUACAAUUUAUUAUCACAAUCCUCAAAACACCCCAUAAUAUCUUCAAUGAGCUGAAUUUUAGAAGCCCAGAAUGGUUUCUGUAGCUCAAAGUUUGUGGGUGGAGAUAGGUGGCGAAGCAGACACAUAUUAACUGUGUGUACAAGCAGCUGAACUGCAAGGUAGACCUCAUAAAGCAACAAGUACAAGAAUGUGUGUGUGUGUGUGUGUGUGUCUCGUUAAUGACUGCAUCCUAAACAGCUGUAAGAUCAAAGCCAUGAACUGACCUAUUGUUUGAAUGGAGAAGCUGCUGAACUGCAGUGAAUUUAGGGUUCUGAACUUCUUCACAUAGCACGAUUUCCUUAAGUCCCAGAAUGAAAAUAAGAACAUCGUACAAAUCCUCCGCCCUUCAUGAACACAAUGAUGUGUUUUUCAUGUCUGUACUCCGAAAAAUGUCGCCACAACAGCGAGUUAAAAAAGUCUGAGCCUGAGUGGCGAUAAGGAUUUUCUUGGAGAAAAAAUACAUUAGAGCCAAUGGGGAGAGAUUUCCACCUAUUUGGACAGUUGGUCACCUGCUGGCCAAGGGGUAAGAUUUAAUGAUUUGAAACCUCUUUUGUGAGAAGCAGGACACAUAUACCUCCAUUUUGAUGUAUUUUUUAUGGCUGUGGAGUGAGAUUUGUGGGCGUGGGAGCGAUAUAUUCGAGCGAGGUUCUGUCGAUCAGAGAGGAGGUCUGCACUCUAGCUUUUCAAAUCAUCACUCUAGCCUCUCCAAUACACCCCUAUUAUAAAGCCUGAAAUUAGCUGAAAACCACAAGUUGCAUAAAGCUAAAUUGUGGAAAAACUGUAAAAGAUAGCACAAAAAGGUUAAUACAACAUCAAUAGUCGACAAGACAAUGAACAUUUUAAAGCAAAAAUGAGGUCUCUAGGUGAAAGUAUGCUGAAGUUAUAAGGCUUAGAAGGUGCACGAAUAACAGGAAGAAUUGGAAGAUUUCCCCAUUCAUUUCUAUGGGAAAAAAGUUUGGAACAAAAAGUGAAAAAUAAUAAAAAGUACAGAGGAUAGAAAGGAAAAAAAUACAAGCACACAUGUCCUGAUGGAGUGGAAUAGUUUAAAGUUUGAACGGUUGAAAUCGGACAAAGUUUGAAGGAGGAGAAGCGGUCCAAAGAAACGUAUGGGGAGAGUGUUAAGUAUAAUACUAGAAAAAUUGCAUUUCCUUUCAGAAAAUGCGUGGAAAUGCUGAGUGCUGAAAGCUGAAAAAGCAAUGCUAAACUGCUAAUAAAACAUGGAGAAAGGUAUAAAUGUUAAAGCUGUUGAAGGGGUGAAAAAGAAAUAUAAGUUGGAUAAUGGUCUAAUUGGUUGAAGGACAAAUAGUAUGAAUAUGCUCUAUAAAUGGAAGUUUUAUUCAUGCUGAAAGAGGCUAGAAAAAUGUCUACAAUUGCACAAAGUUUGAAUGAAGAAGGAAACUGCCUUAAAAGGCAGGAAGGUGAGAAGUGGCAUAAGUUUAAGUUGUAGUACUAGAAGUAGUAUAAUAGGUCAAGUCGUGAUACUAGUAGUCAUGUCAGCAGUAGAAGUAGUUUGAGAAUAAAAGAAGUAUAAGUCACAAUAGUAGAGAAAGUAGAAAUAGGAGCAAUAGUAGUUGAAGUAGAGGGGAUAGUACUAGUUUAAUUGACAUUAGCGGUAGUUGUCGUACUUGAGGUAGGAUUUUGUUUGAAGGAUGGAGUAAUGCAUAAAUAUUAAAACUUAUUUCAAACAGGGAAAAUUGAAAUAAUUAAAAAUCCUCAAGAAUCAGAAAGUUUUUAAGUAUUAGAAAGGUUUGAAUCAGUUUGAAUGAGUUUCAACUAGUUUGAAAAAUAAAUGAUAAAUCAUCACUGAGUGACUUUAAAAUGUGAAAAAUUUAAAUGAAUAUAAAUCCUAAAUACACCCCAUAAUGUCCUCAAUGAGCUUAAAUUUUAAAGCCCUGAAUGGUUUCUGUAGGUCAAAGGUCAUGUGAGGAGAUAGGGGCUGAAGUUUUUUCAAGCACUCUAGGAAAGGGUUUUAAGUGUCAUCCCCAGUGCUAUGCGUACUAAGCCUGGCUUCAUGUGUCUCAUAUGGCCAUUAGAAGCAGCUUUCCAGUCAGCUGUGUGUCUCCAGGUGCACAAAUAUGUUGCCAUGGGGACCUUGGAUGCAUAACUAUAGCCGGAGAAAGAAGGCUUGAAGCUAAAGAAACAGGACUCCAAGUAGGCCCUGACGCUCACCCUCUGUAUAUAUUCAUAAGGAGCUUGUGAGAACACAAGACUCUGCUGAACACAUUAAUACAAUUUAUUAUCACAAUCCUCAAAACACCCCAUAAUGUCUUCAAUGAGCUGAAUUUUUGAAGCCCAGAAUGGUUUCUGUAGCUCAAAGUUUGUGGGUGGAGAUAGGUGGUGAAGCAGACACAUAUUAACUGUGUGUACAAGCAGCUGAACUGCAAGGUGGACCUCAAAAAGCAACAAGUACAAGAAUGUGUGUGCGUGUGUGUGUGUGUGUGUGUGUCUCGUUAAUGACUGCAUCCUAAACAGCUGUGAGAUCAAAGGCAAAUCACUAACCUACUGUUUGACUGAGAGGUGCUGAACUGCAGUGAAUUUCAGCCUGUGAACUUCUUCACAUAGCGUGAUUUCCUUAAGUCCCAGAAUGAAAAUAAGAACAUCGUACGAAUCCCCCGUCCUUCAUGAACACAAUGAUGUGUUUUUCAUGUCUCUACUUCGAAAAAUGAGGCCACAACAGCGAGUUAAAAAAGUCUGAGCCUGAGCGAUGAUCCGGAUUUUCUUGGAGAGAAAUAACAUUACAGUCAAUGGGAGAGAUUUCCGCCUUUUUUGGACAGUUGGUCACCUGCUGGCCAAGGGGUACGAUUUAAUGAUUUGAAACCUCUUUUGUGAGAAGCAGGACACAUAUACCUCCAUUUUGAUGUAUUAUUUGUGUCAGUGGAGUGAGAUUUGUGGGCGUGGGAGCGAUAUAUUCGAGCGAGGUUCUGUCGAUCAGAGACGAGGUCUGCACUCUAGCUGAUGACAUCAUCACUCUAAACUCUCCAAUACACACCCAUUAUAAAGCUUGAAAUUUGCUGAAAACCACAAGUUGCUUAAAGCUAAAUUGUGGAAGAACUGUAGAAGAUAUCAAAAAACUGAGUACAACUAUAAUAGUCGACAAGUGAAUGAACAUUUUAAAGCAAAAAUGAGGUCUCUAGGUGAAAGUAUGCUGAAGUUAUAAGACUUUGAAGGUGGAAGAAAAAAAGGAAGAAGUGGAAGAUUUCCCCAUUGACUUCAAUGUUAAAAUUUUUGCACAAAAAGUUAAAAAUAUCAAAAAGUAUAAAGGGUAGAAGAGUAAAAAGUAAUAGCCAUCAUGUCCUGAAGGAGUGGAAUAGUUUAAAGUUUGAACGGUUGAAAUCGGACAAAGUUUGAAGGAGGAGAAGCGCGGCAAAAAACGGCGGAAGAAUAAUAAGAAGAAUAAAGAAACAGGAGAAUAACAAUAAGUGGAAAUGCUUAAUCAGCAUUUCCACUUAAUAACUAGAAAAAUUGCAUUUCCUUGCAGAAAAUGCGUGGAAAUGCUGAGUGCUGAAAGCUGAAAAAGCAAUGCUAAACUGCUAAUAAAACAUGGAGAAAUGUAUAAAUGUUAAAGCUGUUGAAGGGGUGUGAAAGAAAUGUAAGUUGGAUAAUUGAUUAAUUGGUUGAAGGACAAAUAGUAUGAAUAUGCUCUAUAAAAAGAAAUUUUAUUCAUCCUGAAAGAGGCUAGAAAAAUGUCUAAAAUUGCACAAAGUUUGAAUGAAGAAGGAAAUUGCCUUUAAAGGCAGGAAGGUGAGAAGUGGCAUAAGUUUAAGUUGUAGUACUAGAAGAAGUAUGAUAAGAAGUCAAGUCGUGAUACUAGUAGUCAUGUCAGCAGUAGAAGUAGAUUGAGAAUAAAAGAAGUAUAAGUCAAAGUAGUAAAGAAAGUAGAAAUAGUAGCAAUAGCAGCAGUAGAGAAAGUAGAAAUAGGAGCAAUAGCAGUUGAAGUAGAGGGGAAAGUUCUAGUUUAAUUGACAUAAGUAGUUGUAGUACUAGAGGUAGGAUUUUGUUUGAAGGACGGAUUAAUGCAUAAAUAUUAAAAAUAAUAUAAAACAGGGAAAAUUUUAUUAAUUAAAAAUCCUCAAGUAUCAGACAGUUUUUAAGUAUUAGAAAGGUUUGAAUCAUUUUGAAUGAGUUUAAAUUAGUUUGAAAAAUUAAAUGAUAAAUUAUCACUGAGUGACUUUAAAAUGUGAAACAUUUAAAUGAAUAUAAAUCCUAAAUACACCCCAUAAUGUCCUCAAUGAGCUUAAAUUUUAAAGCCCUGAAUGGUUUCUGUAGGUCAAAGGUCAUGUGAGGAGAUAGGGGCUGAAGGUUUUUCAAGCGCUCUAGGAAAGGGUUUUAAGUGUCAUCCCCAGUGCUAUGUGUACUGAGCCUGGCUUCAUGUGUCUCAUAUGGCCAUUAGAAGCAGCUUUCCAGUCAGCUGUGUGUCUCCAGGUGCACAAAUUGGUUGCCAUGGGGACCUUGGAUGAAUAACUAUAGCAGGAGAAAGAAGGCUUGAAGCUAAGGAAACAGGAGUCCAAGUAGGCCCUGACGCUCAUCCUCUGUAUCUAUUCCUGAUAAGGAGCUUGUGAGAACACAAGACUCUGCUAAACACAUUAAUACAAUUUAUUAUCACAAUCCUCAAAACACCCCAUAAUAUCUUCAAUGAGCUGAAUUUUUGAAGCCCAGAAUGGUUUCUGUAGCUCAAAGUUUGUGGGUGGGGAUAGGUGGCGAAGCAGACACAUAUUAACUGUGUGUACAAGCAGCUGAACUGCAAGGUAGACCUCAUAAAGCAACAAGUACAAGAAUGUGUGUGUGUGUGUGUGUGUGUGUCUCGUUAAUGACUGCAUCCUAAACAGCUGUGAGAUCAAAGGCAAAUCACUGACCUACUGUUUGAAUGAGAAGCAGCUGAACUGCAGAGGAUUUAGAGGCUCUAAACUUCUUCACAUAGCGUGAUUUCCUUAAGUCACAGAAUGAAAAUAAGAACAUCGUACGAAUCCUCCGCCCUUCAUGAACACAAUGAUGUAUUUUUCAUGUCUGUACUCCGACAAAUGUGGCCACAACAGCGAGUUAAAAAAGUCUGAGCCUGAGCGAUGAUCCGGAUUUUCUUGGAGAAAAAUAACAUUAUGGUCAAUGGGAGAGAUUUCCGCCUUCUUUGGACAGUUGGUCACCUGCUGGCCAAGGGGUACGAUUUAAUGAUUUGAAACCUCUUUUGUGAGAAGCAGGACACAUAUACCUCCAUUUUGAUGUAUUAUUUGUGUCAGUGGAGUGAGAUUUGUGGGCGUGGGAGCGAUAUAUUCGAGCGAGGUUCUGUCGAUCAGAGACGAGGUCUGCACUCUAGCUGAUGACAUCAUCACUCUAAACUCUCCAAUACACACCCAUUAUAAAGCCUGAAAAUUUGCUGAAAACCACAAGUUGCUUAAAGCUAAAUUGUGGAAAAACUGUACAAGAUAUCAAAAAACUGAGUACAACUAUAAUAGUCGACAAGUGAAUGAACAUUUUAAAGCAAAAAUGAGGUCUCUAGGUGAAAGUAUGCUGAAGUUAUAAGGUCUAGAAGGUGGAAGAAUAAAAGGAAGAAGUGGAAGAUUUCCCCAUUGACUUCAAUGUUAAAAUUUUUGCACAAAAAGUUAAAAAAAACAAAAAGUAUAAAGGGUAGAAAGAAAAAAAAUACAAGCACACAUGUCCUGAAGGAGUGGAAUAGUUUAAAGUUUGAAUGGUUGAAAUCGGACAAAGUUUGAAGGAGGAGAAGCGUGACAAAAAACGGCGGAAGAAUAAAAAUAAGAUUAAAGAAACAGGAGAAUAACAAUAAGUGGAAAUGCUUAAUCAGCAUUUCCACUUAAUAAAGAAAAAUGGCCGACAGGAAUAACAAUAAGUGGAAAUGCUUAAUCAGCAUUUCCACUUAAUAAUAAAGAAAAAUGGCCGACAGGAAUAACAAUAAGUGGAAAUGCUUAAUCAGCAUUUCCACUUAAUAAAGAAAAAUGGCCGACAGGAAUAACAAUAAGUGGAAAUGCUUAAUCAGCAUUUCCACUUAACUAGAAAAAUUGCAUUUCCUUGCAGAAAAUGCGUGGAAAUGCUGAGUGCUGAAAGCUGAAAAAGCAAUGCUAAACUGCUAAUAAAACAUGGAGAAAGGUAUAAAUGUUAAAGCUGUUGAAGGGGUGAACAGAAAUAUAAGUUGGAUAAUUGAUUAAUUGGUUGAAGGACAAAUAGUAUGAAUAUGCUCUAUAAAAGGAAAUUUUAUUCAUGCUGAAAGAGGCUAGAAAAAUGUCGAAAAUUGCACAAAGUUUGAAUGAAGAAGGAAAUUGCCUUAAAAGGCAGGAAGGUGAGAAGUGGCAUAAGUUUAAAUUGUAGUACUAGAAGUAGUAUGAUAAAAAGUCAAGUUGUGAUACUAGUAGUCAUGUCAGCAGUAGAAGUAGAUUGAGAAUAAAAGAAGAAUAAGUCAAAGUAGUAAAGAAAGUAGAAAUAGGAGCAAUAGCAGUUGAAGUAGAGGGGAAAGUUCUAGUUUAAUUGACAUUAGCAGUAGUUGUCGUACUUGAGGUAGGAUUUUGUUUGAAUGAUGGAGUAAUGCAUAAAUAUUAAAACUAGUAUCAGAAAGUUUUGAAGUAUUAGAAAGGUUUGAAUCAGUUUGAAUGAGUUUAAAUUAGUUUGAAAAAUUAAAUGAUAAAUCAUCACUGACUGACUUUUAAAAUGUGAAAAAUUUAAAUGAAUAACAAUCCUAAAUACACCCAAUAAUGUCCUCAAUGAGCUUAAAUUUCAAAGCCCUGAAUGGUUUCUGUAGGUCAAAGGUCAUGUGAGGAGCUAGGGGCUGAAGUUUUUUCCAACGCUCUAGGAAAAGGUUUUAAGUGUCAUCCCAAUUGCUAUGUGUACUGAGCCUGGCUUCAUGUGUCUCAUAUGGCCACUAGAAGCAGCUUUCCAGUCAGCUGUGUGUCUCCAGGUGCACAAAUUGGUUGCCAUGGGGACCUUGGAUGCAUAACUAUAGCAGGAGAAAGAAGGCUUGAAGCUAAAGAAACAGGACUCCAAGUAGGCCCUGACGCUCACCCUCUGUAUAUAUUCAUAAGGAGCUUGUGAGAACACAAGACUCUGCUGAACACAUUAAUACAAUUUAUUAUCACAAUCCUCAAAACACCCCAUAAUAUCUUCAAUGAGCUGAAUUUUAGAAGCCCAGAAUGGUUUCUGUAGCUCAAAGUUUGUGGGUGGAGAUAGGUGGCGAAGCAGACACAUAUUAACUGUGUGUACAAGCAGCUGAACUGCAAGGUAGACCUCAUAAAGCAACAACUACAAGAAUGUGUGUGUGUGUGUGUGUGUGUGUCUCGUUAAUGACUGCAUCCUAAACAGCUGUGAGAUCAAAGGCAAAUCACUGACCUACUGUUUGAAUGAGAAGCAGCUGAACUGCAGAGGAUUUAGAGGCUCUAAACUUCUUCACAUAGCGUGAUUUCCUUAAGUCCCAGAAUGAAAAUAAGAACAUCGUACGAAUCCUCCGCCCUUCAUGAACACAAUGAUGUCUUUUUCAUGUCUGUACUCCGAAAAAUGUGGCCACAACAGCGAGUUAAAAAAGUCUGAGCCUGAGUGGGGAUAAGGAUUUUCUUGGAGAAGAAAUACAUUAGGUCUAAUGGGGAGAGAUUUCCGCCUAUUUGGACAGUUGGUCACCUGCUGGCCAAGGGGUAAGAUUUAAUGAUUUGAAACCUCUUUUGUGAGAAGCAGGACACAUAUACCUCCAUUUUGAUGUAUUUUUUAUGGGUGUGGAUUGAGAUUUGUGAGCGUGGGAGCGAUAUAUUCGAGCGAGGUUCUGUCGAUCAGAGACGAGGUCUGCACUCUAGCUUUUCAAAUCAUCACUCUAGCCUCUCCAAUACACCCCUAUUAUAAAGCCUGAAAUUUGCUGAAAACCACAAGUUGCUUGAAGCUAAAUUGUGGAAAAACUGUAAAAUAUAGCACAAAAAGGUUAAUACAAUAUCAAUAGUCGACAAGACAAUGAACAUUUUAAAGCAAAAAUGAGGUCUCUAGGUGAAAGUAUGCUGAAGUUAUAAGGCUUAGAAGGUGGACGAAUAACAGGAAGAAUUGAAAGAUUUCCCCAUUCAUUUCUAUGGGAAAAAAAGUUUGGCACAAAAAGUGAAAAAUAAUAAAAAGUAUAAAGGGUAGAAAAAAGAAAAGUAAUAGCCAUCAUGUCCUGAAGGAGUGGAAUCGUUUAAAGUUUGAACGGUUGAAAUGGGACAAAGUUUGAAGGAGGAGAAGCGGUCCAAAGAAACGUAUGGGGAGAGUGUUAAGUAUAAUACUAGAAAAAUUGCAUUUCCUUGCAGAAAAUGCGUGGAAAUGCUGAGUGCUGAAAGCUGAAAAAGCAAUGCUAAACUGCUAAUAAAACAUGGAGAAAGGUAUAAAUGUUAAAGCUGUUGAAGGGGUGAUAAAGAAAUAUACGUUAGAUAAUUGUUUAAUUGGUCGAAGGACAAAUCGUCUGAAUCUGCUCUAUAAAAGGAAAUUUUAUUCAUGCUGAAAGAGGCUUGAAAAAUGUCUAAAAUUGCACAAAGUUUGAAUGAAGAAGGAAAUUGCCUUAAAAGGCAGGAAGGUGAGAAGUGGCAUAAGAUUCAGUUGUAGUACUAGAAGUAGUAUGAUGAGAAGUCAAGUCGUGAUACUAGUAGUCAUGUCAGCAGUAGAAGUAGAUUGAGGAUAAAAGAAGUAUAAGUCAAAGUAGUAGACAAAGUAGAAAUAGUAGCAAUAGCAGCAGUAGAGAAAGUAGAAAUAGGAGCAAUAGCAGUUGAAGUAGAGGGGAAAGUACUAGUUUAAUUGACAUUAGCAGUAGUUGUAGUACUAGAGGUAGGAUUUUGUUUGAAGGACGGAAUAAUGCAUAAAUAUUAAAACUAAUAUAAAACAGGGAACAUUUUAUUAAUUAAAAAUCCUCAAGUAUCAGAAAGUUUUUUUAGUAUUAGAAAGGUUUGAAUAAUUUUGAAUGAGUUUAAAUUAGUUUGAAAAAUUAAAUGAUAAAUCAUCACUGAGUGACUUUAAAAUGUGAAAAAUUUAAAUGAAUAUAAAUCCUAAAUACACCCCAUAAUGUCCUCAAUGAGCUUAAAUUUUAAAGCCCUGAAUGGUUUCUGUAGGUCAAAGGUCAUGUGAGGAGAUCGGAGCUGAAGUUUUUUCAAGCGCUCUAGGAAAGGGUUUUAAGUGUCAUCCCCAGUGCUAUGUGUACUUAGCCUGGCUUCAUGUGUCUCAUAUGGCCAUUAGAAGCAGCUUUCCAGUCAGCUGUGUAUCUCCAGGUGCACAAAUUGGUUGCCAUGGGGACCUUGGAUGAAUAACUAUAGCAGGAGAAAGAAGGCUUGAAGCUAAGGAAACAGGACUCCAAGUAGGCCCUGACGCUCAUCCUCUGUAUAAAUUCAUAAGGAGCUUGUGAGAACACAAGAUUUUGCUGAACACAUUAAUACAAUUUAUUAUCACAAUCCUCAAAACACCCCAUAAUAUCUUCAAUGAGCUGAAUUUUUCAAGCCCAGAAUGGUUUCUGUAGCUCAAAGUUUGUGGGUGGAGAUAGGUGGUGAAGCAGACACAUAUUACCUGUGUGUACAAGCAGGUGAACUGCAAGGUAGACCUGACAAUGCAACAAGUACAAGAAUGUGUGUGCGUGUGUGUGUGUCUCGUUAAUGACUGCAUCCUGAACAGCUGUGAGAUCAAAGGCAAAUCACUGACCUACUGUUUGAAUGAGAAGCAGCUGAACUGCAGAAGAUUUAAACCAUGUGAACUUCUUCACAUAGCACGAUUUCCUUAAGUCCCAGAAUGAAAAUAAGAACAUCGUACGAAUCCUCCGCCUUUCAUGAACACAAUGAUGUGUUUUUCAUGUCUGUACUCCGAAAAAUGAGGCCACAACAGCGAGUUAAAAAAGUCUGAGCCUGAGCGAUGAUCUGGAUUUUCUUGGAGAAAAAUAACAUAACGGUCAAUGGGAGAGAUUUCCGCCUUCCUUGGACAGUUGGUCACCUGCUGGCCAAGGGGUAGGAUUUAAUGAUUUGAAACCUCUUUUGUGAGAAGCAGGACACAUAUACCUCCAUUUUGAUGUAUUAUUUAUGGCUGUGGAGUGAGAUUUGUGGGCGUGGGAGCGAUAUAUUCGAGCGAGGUUCUGUCGAUCAGAGACGAGGUCUGCACUCUAGCUUUUCAAAUCAUCACUCUAGCCUCUCCAAUACACCCCUAUUAUAAAGCCUGAAAUCUGCUGAAAACCACAGGUUGCAUAAAGCUAAAUUGUGGAAAAACUGUAAAAGAUAGCACAAAAAGGUUAAUACAACAUCAAUAGUCGACAAGACAAUGAACAUUUUAAAGCAAAAAUGAGGUCUCUAGGUGAAAGUAUGCUGAAGUUAUAAGGCUUAGAAGGUGGACGAAUAACAGGAAGAAUUGGAAGAUUUCCCCAUUAAUUUCUAUGGGAAAAAAAGUUUGGCACAAAAAGUAAAAAAUAAUAAAAAGUAUAAAUGGUAGAAAAGAGAAAAGUAAUAGCCAUCAUGUCCUGAAGGAGUGGAAUAGUUUAAAGUUUGAACGGUUGAAAUCGGACAAAGUUUGAAGGAGGAGAAGCGGUCCAAAGAAACGUAUGGGGAGAGUGUUAAGUAUAAUACUAGAAAAAUUGCAUUUCCUUGCAGAAAAUGCGUGGAAAUGCUGAGUGCUGAAAGCUGAAAAAGCAAUGCUAAACUGCUAAUAAAAGAUGGAGAAGGUAUAAAUGUUAAAGCUGUUGAAGGAGUGAAAAAGAAAUAUAAGUUGGAUCAUGGUUUAAUUGGUUAAAGGACAAAUAGUAUGAAUAUGCUCUAUAAGAGGAAAUCUUAUUCAUGCUGAAAGAGGCUAGAAAAAUGUCUACAAUUGCACAAAGUUUGAAUGAAGAAGGAAAUUGCCUUAAAAGGCAGGAAAGUGAGAAGUGGCAUAAGUUUAAUUUGUAGUACUAGAGGUAGUAUGAUAAGAAGUCAAGUAGUGAUAACAGUAGUCAUGUAAACAGUAGAAGUAGUUUGAGAAUAAAAAAAAGUAUAAGUCAAAGUAGUAGAGAAAGUAGAAAUAGGAGCAAUAGCAGUUGAAGUAGAGGGGAAAGUACUAGUUUAAUUGACAUUAGCAGUAGUUGUCGUACUUGAGAUGGGAUUUUGUUUGAAGGAUGGAGUAAUGCAUAAAUAUUAAAACUACUUUAAAACAGGGAAAAUUUAAAUAAUUAAAAAUCCUGAAGUAUCAGAAAGAUUUUAAGUAUUAGAAAGGUUUGAAUCAGUUUGAAUCAGUUUAAAUUAGUUUGAAAAAUUAAAUGAUAAAUCAUCACUAAGAGACUUAUAAAAGUGAAAAAUCUAAAUGAAUGUAAAUCCUGAAUAUACCCCAUAAUGUCCUCAAUGAGCUUAGAUUUUAAAGCCCUGAAUGGUUUCUGUAGGUCAAAGGUCAUGUGAGGAGAUAGGGGCUGAAGUUUUUCAAGCGCUCUAGUAAAAGGUUUUAAGUGUCAUCCCCAGUCCUAUGUGUGCUGAGCCUGGCUUCAUGUGUCUCAUAUGGCCAUUAGAAGCAGCUUUCCAGUCAGCUGUGUGUCUCCAGGUGCACAAAUUGGUUGCCAUGGGGACCUUGGAUGCAUAACUAUAGCAGGAGAAAGAAGGCUUGAAGCUAAGGAAACAGGACUCCAAGUAGGCCCUGACGCUCAUCCUCUGUAUCUAUUCCCGAUAAGGAGCUUGUGAGAACACAAGACUCUGCUAAACACAUUAAUACAAUUUAUUAUCACAAUCCUCAAAACACCCCAUAAUAUCUUCAAUGAGCUGAAUUUUAGAAGCCCAGAAUGGUUUCUGUAGCUCAAAGUUUGUGGGUGGAGAUAGGUGGCGAAGCAGACACAUAUUAACUGUGUGUACAAGCAGCUGAACUGCAAGGUAGACCUCAUAAAGCAACAAGUACAAGAAUGUGUGUGUGUGUGUGUGUGUGUGUGUGUGUGUGUGUCUCUCGUUAAUGACUGCAUCCCAAACAGCUGUGAGAUCAAAGGCAAAUCACUGACCUACUGUUUGUAUGAGAAGCAGCUGAACUGCAGAGGAUUUGAAGCCUGUUAACUUCUUCACAUAGCGUGAUUUCCUUAAGUCCCAGAAUGAAAAUAAGAACAUCGUACGAAUCCUCCGUCCUUCAUGAACACAAUGAUGUGUUUUUCAUGUCUGUACUCCGACAAAUGUGGCCACAACAGCGAGUUAAAAAAGUCUGAGCCUGAGCGAUGAUCCGGAUUUUCUUGGAGAAAUAUUACAUUAGAGUCAAUGGGAGAGAUUUCCGCCUUCUUUGGACAGUUGGUCACCUGCUGGCCAAGGGGUAGGAUGUAAUGAUUUGAAACCUCUUUUGUGAGAAGCAGGACACAUAUACCUCCAUUUUGAUGUAUUUUUUAUGGCUCUGGAGUGAGAUUUGUGGGCAUGGGAGCGAUAUAUUCGAGCGAGGUUUUGUGGAUCAGAGACUAGGUCUGCACUCUAGCUUUUCAAAUCAUCACUCUAGCCUCUCCAAUUCACCCCUGUUAUAAAGCCUGAAAUCUGCUGAAAACCACAAGUUACAUAAAGCUAAAUUGUGGAAAAACUGUAAAAGAUGGCACAAAAAGGUUAAUACAACAUCAAUAGUCGACAAGACAAUGAACAUUUUAAAGCAAAAAUGAGGUCUCUAGGUGAAAGUAUGCUGAAGUUAUAAGGCUUAGAAGGUGGACGAAUAACAGGAAGAAUUGGAAGAUUUCCCCAUUCAUUUCUAUGGGAAAAAAAGUUUGUCACAAAAAGUGAAAAAUAAUAAAAAGUAUAAAGGAUAGAAAAGAGAAAAGUAAUAGCCAUCAUGUCCUGAAGGAGUGGAAUAAUUUAAAGUUUGAACGGUUGAAAUCGGACAAAGUUUGAAGGAGGAGAAGCGGUCCAAAGAAACAUAUGGGGAGAGUGUUAAGUAUAAUACUAGAAAAAUUGCAUUUCCUUGCAGAAAAUGCGUGGAAAUGCUGAGUGCUGAAAGCUGAAAAAGCAUUGCUAAACUGCUAAUAAAACAUGGAGAAAUGUAUAAAUGUUAAAGCUGUUGAAGGGGUGUGAAAGAAAUGUAAGUUGGAUAAUUGAUUAAUUGGUUGAAGGACAAAUAGUAUGAAUAUGCUCUAUAAAAGAAAAUUCUAUUCAUGCUGAUAGAGGCUAGAAAAAUGUCUAAAAUUGCACAAAGUUUGAAUGAAGAAGGAAAUUGCCUUAAAAGGCAGGAAGGUGAGAAGUGGCAUAAGUUUAAGUUUUUAAGUAUAAGAAAGGUUUGAAUCAGUUUGAAUCAGUUCAAAUUAGUUUGAAAAACUAAAUGAUAAAUCAUCACUGAGUGACUGAAAAAUGUGAAAAAUUUAAUUGAAUAUAAAUCCUGAAUACACCCCAUAAUGUCCUCAGUGAGCUUCAAUUUUAAAGCCCUGAAUGGUUUCUGUAGGUCAAAGGUCAUGUGAGGAGAUAGGGGCUGAAGUUUUUUCCAACGCUCUAGGAAAGGGUUUUAAGUGUCAUCCCAAUUGCUAUGUGUACUGAGCCUGGCUUCAUGUGUCUCAUAUGGCCACUAGAAGCAGCUUUCCAGUCAGCUGUGUGUCUCCAGGUGCACAAAUUGGUUGCCAUGGGGACCUUGGAUGCAUAACUAUAGCAGGAGAAAGAAGGCUUGAAGCUAAAGAAACAGGACUCCAAGUAGGCCCUGACGCUCACCCUCUGUAUAUAUUCAUAAGGAGCUUGUGAGAACACAAGACUCUGCUGAACACAUUAAUACAAUUUAUUAUCACAAUCCUCAAAACACCCCAUAAUAUCUUCAAUGAGCUGAAUUUUUGAAGCCCAGAAUGGUUUCUGUAGCUCAAAGUUUGUGGGUGGAGAUAGGUGGUGAAGCAGACACAUAUUAACUGUGUGUACAAGCAGCUGAACUGCAAGGUGGACCUCAAAAAGCAACAAGUACAAGAAUGUGUGUGCGUGUGUGUGUGUGUGUCUCCUUAAUGACUGCAUCCUAAACAGCUGUGAGAUCAAAGGCAAAUCACUAACCUACUGUUUGAAUGAGAAGCAGCUGAACUGCAGUGAAUUUCAGCCUGUGAACUUUUUCACAUAGCGUGAUUUCCUUAUGUCCCAGAAUGAAAAUAAGAACAUCGUACGAAUCCUCCGUCCUUCAUGAACACAAUGAUGUCUUUUUCAUGUCUGUACUCCGAAAAAUGUGGCCACAACAGCGAGUUAAAAAAGUCUGAGCCUGAGCGAUUGUCCGGAUUUUCUUGGAGAAAAAUAACAUUAUGGUCAAUGGGAGAGAUUUCCGCCUUUUUUGGACAGUUGGUCACCUGCUGGCCAAGGGGUAGGAUUUAAUGAUUUGAAACCUCUUUUGUGAGAAGCAGGACACAUAUACCUCCAUUUUGAUGUAUUAUUUGUGUCAGUGGAGUGAGAUUUGUGGGCGUGGGAGCGAUAUAUUCGAGCGAGGUUCUGUCGAUCAGAGACGAGGUCUGCACUCUAGCUGAUGACAUCAUCACUCUAAACUCUCCAAUACACACCCAUUAUAAAGCUUGAAAUUUGCUGAAAACCACAAGUUGCUUAAAGCUAAAUUGUGGAAAAACUGUAAGAGAUAUCAAAAAACUGAGUACAACUUUAAUAGUCGACAAGUGAAUGAACAUUUUAAAGCAAAAAUGAGGUCUCUAGGUGAAAGUAUGCUGAAGUUAUAAGGCUUAGAAGGUGGACGAAUAAAAGGAAGAUAUGGAAGAUUUCCCCAUUGACUUCAAUGUUAAAAUUUUUGCACAAAAAGUUAAAAAAAAACAAAAAGUAUAAAAGGUAGAAGAGUGAAAAGUAAUAGCUAUCAUGUCCUGAAGGAGUGGAAUAGUUUAAAGUUUGAACGGUUGAAAUCGGACAAAGUUUGAAGGAGGAGAAGCGGUCCAAAAAAGGUACGGAAGAAUAAUAAUAAGUUGAAUAAAGAAACAGGAGAAUAACAAUAAGUGGAAAUGCUUAAUCAGCAUUUCCACUUAACUAGAAAAAUUGCAUUUCCUUGCAGAAAAUGCGUGGAAAUGCUGAGUGCUGAAAGCUGAAAAAGCAAUGCAAAACUGCCAAUAAAAAAUGGAGGAAGGUAUAAACGGAAAAACUGUAGAAAAGGUGGAGUAGAACAAGAAGAAAUUGUAUGAAUGGAAGAAUUGUAGUAUAGCUGGAGGUAAAUUAGUUGGAUUAAUGUACAAAUUGUCUGAUAGCCUAAGUGAAAAAUGUAUAUGAUUGAUGUGAAUAAACAGAACUGAUAUGGAUAAUUGAAUUUGAAAAACAAAUGCCUUUAAACAAUGUGUAACAAUGUUCCUAUUAAAUGUACAAAUAGUAAAACAGAUUUUUGCAGUCUGCAGCAUCCAACCAUAGUAACUUGAGAAUGCAGAACAGCACCAUCUAUUGCCCUGCUUCAGUUACUGCCCUACAUCUGAAUGUAGAAAGUAUGAAACAGCUGAAGUUCAAUUAAUUGUAUAAAUGUAGAAAGUAUAGAAAAGAAAAGCAGAAGUAGAAGAAAAAGAAGAAGUUAGUAUGUUAAAAGAGUUAAAGACAAGAACUGUAACAACAAAGUUCAUAUUGGGGCUGUAUUUUCUACUGACAGAGUGACAGUAAUUCACACAUGGAAACAGUGUGUGUGUGUGUGUGUGUGCCCGCGCGCGCGCGCGGCCGAGCCCGUGCGUGUGCAUGUGCGUGUGUGAUCGAAGCACACAGCCCAUGACAAGUGCAGAAUCUGACAGAGAGACAGUAAGAGAGAAAGAGAUACAGUAAUGCACUCAUGGAAACAGUGUGUGUGUGUGUGUGUGCCCGCGCGCGCACGAGCGGCCAAGUCCGUGCGUGUGCGAUCGAAGCACACAGCCCAUGACAAGUGCAGAAUCUCUGGCUCCUAAGGAAUGUACUCACCUCCUGGGCAAGCUGUACAAUUUCAUGACUUCAGACCGAUUUUGUGAGAAGCAGGACGAGUGUACCUCCAUUUUGAUGUGUUUUUUAUGGCUGUGGAGUGAAACUUGCGGCCGCGGCAGCAGAAUAAACACGCUUGGUCUAGUGAAUCCAAAAGGCCCCGCCCGCAUCUAGCGGUGACGUAACAUCUGACGUCACACGCUGUAGCGUGAGUCAGGCUGAAAAAGGCAGAGAACUUCAUGUUGCUCCAAGCGAAAUUGUGCAAAAACGGUAGGAAAUAGCAAAAAGGAGUGAAUACAACAUUUGUAGCAGACACGUUGCUGAACAUUUUAAAGCAAAAAUGAGGUCUCUAGGUGAAAGUAUGCAGAAGUUAUAAGGGUGAGAAGGUGUUAUAGCUGUAUCUCCAUUCAUUUGUAAUGGAACAAAUUUUGCAGAAAAAGUGAAAUAUUGCAAAAAGUAUAAAUGGUAGAAAGGUGAAAAGUAAUAGCCGUAAUGUCCUGAAGGAGUGCAUUAGUAUAAAGUUUGAAUGGUGAAAAUAGCACAAAGUGGUAAGGAGUUGAAAAGGGCCAAAAAAGGUACGGAAGAAUAAUAAUAAUAAUAAUAAUAAUAAAGAAAUAGUAGAAUAACAAUAAGUGGAAAUGCUGUGUCAGCAUUUCCACUUAAUAAAGAAACAGGAGAAUAACAAUAAGUGGAAAUGCCUAUCAGCAUUUCCACUUAAAUAAUAAUAAAGAAACAGGAGAAUAACAAUAAGUGGAAAUGCCUAUCAGCAUUUCCACUUAAUUAACAUCUCUAAUUACAGAGGGGAUUCAAUAACGAUACUUGCGUUAUUAAUGGUGAUGAAUUAGUAGUAAAGACUGCAUUUCUUUCCACAGUGGGGUUAAACACAAAUUGCCACAAAAAGCAUAAUUAAAGAUUACAGUAGGAUAAGGAGACAACCUGAUCAUAGCCAUAGUCAUUUACAUACUCCCUCUCUUAUUCCGGAGAUGUAUGUCAUGACAAUAUUCACUUGCUUGAUAUGUAAGUUUGGACUUCCACGUGCCUUAAGGAAAUUUUUGACCCUGUCACAGCUUAAGGCUAUACUAUGUUCAUCGGCAAAGUCAUUAAGUUGUGCCACAUUUCUUGUACAUUUUUUGAGCAGACCUUAAUUGAGAUAUUUUGGACAGUUUACUUGUAUUAUUGCAGGAUUAGUUGAUGCAGAUGUUGAAAUAAAAACUUAGUAAAGUUUUUGUGAACCAACAUCUUUAAUUUCUAAGAUUAGCCCACAGGCCCGCUCUCUGAUAGAAUAGCAACAGAGGCUGUAGACCUCAACGACAUCAUAUCCUAUCAUCCCGCAGGUGGUUCAGUUUGUCGAUGGGAGGAAAUGGGAUCUUUACACCCAAUUUGAGGUGAAGUGACUCAGAGUUUACAUGUAGGAUAUCCCGUGACCCUAGCGUAAUGACUUCCAGACUGCAGGUGGUCCUGCUCUUGUGUGUCAGUGAUAGGCCUCCAUAAACAGACUUAAUCACAUUCUUCCAGCAGACUCUCUCUCUCUCUCUCUCUCUCUCUUUCUCUCCCCCUCUCUCUCCCUUUGGUCCUUACUUGGAAACCUAUUAUUUUUAAUAUUCGCGUCUUUCCCUCAGAUGUUGUUUCUCCUAUCUUGCUCUCUUGUUCACAGUGAAUUAGUCGCCACUAAAUGUCCACUUCUGGCCCUCACAUAUGUACGGCACUACACAUGAACAUGAAUACAUACAUAUGUACAUUAAUGUUCUUAUGGUUUAUAUAUCUUCCUCCACAUAUUCCAGUUUGUGGAAACACAGAUGUGUGUAGUAGACAUGGUCUACUCUGUCAUAUGUACACCAUGUGAGGAAGAAGUCUAGCCCUGAGGGGGGGGAUCCAGUCUUACAGAGGGAAAUCAUGGUAAGCAGUGUGAGCCGUCACAGAAAACAGCUGUUCACGCAUCCUUUCUCUUUUUAAUGGCACUUCCGUGGCAUCCCACAGGUCGUCUGGUAUUGAAAUACAACUGCCACUCCUUUCUUAGUACAAAUGCGGUUUGUAUGUAAUUGUUCUCAGAUUUUUUUUUUCCUUUUCCUCACCCAUUUCAGCUUUUUCCAGACCUUAAUAACAGAGCGGUUUGUAAGACUUAGACUAAGCUGUAGUCAAAACUCCAUGAGCAGAAGUGGUUCUUCCAAGUCUGUGCUGAAUCCAGCAGGCAGCAUGUUGCCCAAAUGGAAGCCGUCUGUGGAUCAGAAUACAGUGCUCAUUAAGACUGACUGAUAUGUGGCAUGAUAUAAAUGGAGAUCAAGCUGUCUUUGCAAACAAGCCCUUGUUGUUUCCUUGCAACAAAGUUAUCUUUUACUGUAUAUCCAUCUACUCACAAACAUGCCAGCUUUUCGUAGUGACUGCAAGAGUUGUUCAAAUCAAAUCAAUCCAAAAAAAGUUUUUUGUUGGUGCUAGCCAGUGUUGUUUUUGGCAGGCAUUUUAGAUUUAGUUUUAGUCUUAGUCAUUUUGACGAAAUGCUUCUUCGUUUUAGUCCCAUUUUAGUCAUUUCUAUCCUUGUUAGUUUUCGUCUAGUUUUAGUCCGAGGAAAACUCUAAAGGUUUUCGUCUAGUUUUAGUCGACGUAAAGGUGCCUUUUGAGGUUCGUGGUGUUCUUUCCCGACAGUUUGAAGCAUGAGGAAGCUGUGGCUCCACAACUGUCGUCUGUCUCGUCUCCCCGUCCCGUGUUUUAUUGUCACUUUUAUUUUAUUGUCACUUGAACUGUAUCUGAAGUAGGACCCUCUUUUUCCUGUAAGGGACUGUUUUUCCUGUCCCUCUUUUUUCGGCCACCGGGCACCGCUGCUGUGCCUGCCGCCACGGUGUGUGUGUGUGUGCGCGCCUCGUCCACCUGCCGCUCUGUGUAUGUGAAUGAGUGUGUGCGCGCAGCUGUGCGCGAGCGAGGCUUUUGGUGCGUGUGUGAUGGGGGCGUGACUGUUAGGACAAAAAAAAGCAUGUUUUGAAACUUUGUUUGUCCACCUAAUACCAAUUUAGUCUCGUCUCGUUCUCGUCUGACAAAAAUGAAUAUAAUUUUCGUCACAUUUUAGUCUUUACAGAGCUUUGGUGACGUUCGUCUUAGUCUCAUUUUCGUCAAGGAAAAAAGGGGUCUGACGUCGUCAUUUAAGUUUUCGUCCUGCCUGACGAAAACAACACUGGUGCUAGUUGUCUGAUUGUAAGUCUACAAUGGUAACCCAAAGAUUUCUCCUGAAGCAGCAGUGGUGAUAAGGUCAGUCGAGGUGUGGGAAUGGCCAGCGGAUAAUACUUUUAAGAGCUGAUAGGGAGCGGAGUUAAAUGCUCUGGAUCACCAAAAUGAGCUGAAAUUCCCAUCACUUGGAUUCAUGAUGUAGCUGUUUACCUGGGGAAAGAGGAAGCAUGCAGACUCUGCUCUGACAUGAACUGCAGACAAGAUUCGGAGUAAUCUGUGUGUUUACGCUUUUAAUGCAUUUGGAUUACAUCUUUUCCAUAAUUUGGAUUGUGGCGGGACUCUCUCUGUUGCAGUAGGAGGUUUGCUCAGCUCAUUUUCAUAAUACAUGGUAUGCAGACAAGAAAGGUUCUAGUCGGGCCUAAUCUCUGCUGCCUCAUAUUAGCCAGAUUAUUCUUGCCUUAAACACUUUUUUAUAGUUUUUCCAUCUGCAAAAGUUGAAUAAAGUACAUGGUUCCUUGUAUCUAUUUUUGGUAUGACCUUGGUUGGGGUUCCAAGUGUGCAGAGCUUAUUAUAAGGGACAUGAAAGAACUGCAGUCCAUUGAUCGUUUCUACAAGAUUGUUGCAAGCAGGACAACUGUAGGCAUCCUGCAAACACCUGAUCAGUAGUAGUGGAAUGGUGGGCCUUGUCCUGUCUCAAAUUGUGUCCCAAAUCCAAGUUGGAGGUUGUUGAUGUGACAAAGUUGAGCUUUUAAAGGCAUGCCUGAGAGAGAUUAUCAUUGGUUGGGGGGUAUGAGUGCAGUAGGAGCCCAUGAAACCCACCAUACAGGCCUUAAUUUGAGGUCAUUAAUCAUGUGAGGCCAUCCUGCAGUGAACACUUCUGCAUUUCUCUGUGCUGUUUGGUUAUCAUGUAGAGGUCUGCUGUGUGGACAAGCUUUCCAAGUCAUAUUCAAACUCUCACAGCAAGAACUGGUAAAUGUGUUGCAGAGCUUUGGAGAAGUAGUUGUGUUUGCUUAAACCAAAGAAGGACACGUGUCUUUGUUCCAGUGACUUGUUUCAACAGAUUUUAUUGUAGGAUGCUGAUAAAUUUAGUUGAACUCCAUCAGAAGAGACUGGUGUUUUUAAUUAAAAAAAAAACCUUUGUACCAUGCUGCAGAGAUUUUUUUUGAUAUGUAAUAUUAGAAAGUUAAAGAAUUCAGUAAGUCUCUCUAAGCCAAACUAAGGGUUGCAAAAUGCUUACCAUGGCUCUGUUGUGUGCGACUCCUAAAAUUGUGUGUGUAGAUCCAGGAUGCACCUCUGGACAUGAAAUCCAACUGUCUCCACACUUCCUGGUUCAUUUAUUUUUUCAUUCAUUUAGACGGGCAGCAUGAGUGCCCUGACUACAGUGUCACUGAUGUGGUUGCUCUAAAGAUAACAUGCAGUUAUUUUAUUUUAUUUCAUUUCAUUUUAACUUUUUUCUCCUUUGGCCACUGUGUUGGUUGAUGAGUGAGUGGUAUUUCUACUUUGCGACUCUGUACUGAAACUUAAUUUUCCAAAGAGGUUAUAAAGGAGAUGGCUAAGUGUUUCUUUCAGGAAAAAAAGAAAGAAAAGGAAACACUUAGGAAAAGUAAAUUGAUGUAGUCUAAAGACAACUGUGCACAAAGUGGUGUGUGUUUUUAAAAUGCCAUUCACUUAAGAAAAAAAAAAACAUAAAUUGAAGUUUUCAUUUCUGUCCUUCCUCUACGACAAACUCAAACUCUUCUGUCUUGCCUGGUGAGUUUUAAGUCACUGAUAUGAAUUAGGAGUGGGAGUAUAUCUGAAAGCUGGAAAUCAUGACCCCCUUCCAGCAGCUAUUGAUUGGAGUAGCAGAAAAUCCAUAGUGGCUGAUUUGUGAACCAUUAAGUUUUGAACCCAAAGCUCAUAAUGUUCAUAUUCACAGCUUUACUCUGUGCUGAUGAGGGUGAGGGUGGGAUAAAGAGGCAGGGGGUUAGGGUGUUAGAUACUCAGGGGUUAGAGGCAGGCUGUUAGAAAAUGAGGGAAAAGCGUUGGAGGGAUUGAAGAUCAUUAAACAAAUCAAUUCAGCCCUAUCUGGAAGAUUGCCCACACAUGCAAUAAAACAACGAGGGAAGUGCGCAGGAGGAACAAUUUCUUAUUAUCAUAUUUACAAGUCUGUUCUAAUUUAUCUUUAAAUUUAUUGACCAAAUGCAAAGUAGUAUAGGCAGGGGUUCGUCCCUUAGCCACAGUCCUCAUUUUUUACUGAAGAUAAAAUGAAGGCAGUGCUGUCAGCACAGUUUUCAUACUAUUACAACCUUUGGAAAGAAAAGGAAAUUUUGGAAAAAAAUAUGUCAUGAAUAAACACAUUUCUUCUGCAGUUGAUACAGCCUUUUGUAAUACUCAAAACUUAUAUUUUUACCAGUUUAAUCUGGACUUAAAAACUGGAGACUUUUUCCCUUUCAGGUCAAACUGCAUGUUCUGAUUUUGUGCAUUUUGUUCCCAUCUAUCUGGGUUAUAUAAAGUUGAGCAGUAAAAAUUAGUUGAGAUACAGAUUUUUUUUUUAUCCUUGAGGUUUUUCGUUUUAUUUAAACUACGUAGUAUCUGGAAAUUCUCAGAUUUCGAACAGACGGACCUGUUCAAAAGUGACCUGUAUCCCAGCCCCACAUUAAAAUGCAUUUCCCAGCUACAUAACUCUAGCCUUGUUUCCUUUCCCUCUGGUCAGCCAGAGGUCACUUCACAUAGCAGCCUCAGUGAUCCUCUUUCCUCGCUGUUUGAAAAUGUCAUCAAACCAAGAAUUAAAGAUUUUAACGGGAAUAUAACAAGCCCCCUCUUCUUCACCAUCCUCUCUAAUUUUCCACCGUCAUCUCUCAUGUGCCCUCUUCAGUCAGGAAAAAUUGCUGACAACAAAAUUCUCUGGUGAGAUGAAAUGAUGACGAUAAUUAGUUAUUUCUAAAUGAAGGAACCAUUGGUGUCAAAAAAGUCAUGAGGACACAUUAAUCAUACCAAAAUCACACAUUCUCAGGUACACAUAUACCCAUCUCUUUACCGUUUUCUUAACAUAAAGUGCAUGUAAAAACUGUGGAAAGCCUCAGGGGGAGAACUAAUAUGUUUUUAUAUACAUAUUUUGAUUUCAUCCGACUGCUAGCUGCAUGUGAAAAUUGCCCCUGACUUACAGAACGCCAUUGAGGCCUGUUGGAUGUCGUCCAUCUGUCCACAGUAAUUGAGGUGGGCAGGGGUGGGGGUGUUGGGGGAUCACUCAACAGUUGAGCCAUUUACUGCACAGGUACUUUCAGAAAGCUACUGACCUUAUUUUGAAGCCAGGUGUAUAUUGUUAAUGUAAGUAUACUGAGCUGUAACUCUAGAGCUACAGUUUUAAUGUAAUCCAAAAUCAUCUGAUGAAGUAAACUAGAAAACUGAGAAGAAAUUUGCAUGAAGUAAAACCAUGUUCAUUUAGCAUUUUAGUCUGGACCAUUCUGUUUUUCUUUCUGCCUUGACAUUUUUCAACUAAGAGUCACCUCAAACUGUUGUUACAUUGUCUCUCAGCAUUUUUAUAUCCAGACGUCCUGCUACUUAGGGGUGGGAGAAAAAAAUCGAUACAGCAUAGUAUCGCAAUAUUUUGUCUGGUGAUAUAGUGUAUAGUCUCAUUUAUCAAGUAUUUAAUUUUCAAAUUAAUUGCUUAUAUGAAGUCAAAUCUAUGUUAAUGGAAAAACUAAAAUUAACUGUUUGUCCAGUGACGUUGGCAGAGGUGACAUCAAAGAGCAGGAAAAAGUUAGUGCAACAAUUAUAUAAAUAUAUAAAUGUAAGGUUUACAAGAUGUGCCACAUGAAAAUAAAAUACAGUGUAAAUAAGAUAAACAUAAAGGAAAGACAAAUGCCAAAUUAGCUCAACAGUUUAAAAGACUGUAUAAAUGGCAAUCUAUUGUUUCGCAACACUCACUGUAUUGCAAAAUGUUAGAAAUCGCAAUACUAUCGUAACAUGGCCCAAGUAUCAUGAUAGUAUUGUAUUGUGGGGCCACCGGUGAUUCCCACCCCUACUGCUACUUAAGGUGACUGGCUGACCUACCUUCCUUCCUUUCUUCCUUCUGUGAAAUAAAUGGCAAUUUUGUUUCCCUUAAUUUUGUAUUUUGCUCAUUUACUUCCAGGAAUGGUUAAUUAUGUUGGGUGAUAUUGUAUUUGAGUGUGUAUGGCUGUAUGAGUAGUAGACCCCAGAAAUAAUAACUCAUGCUGGUGCUCAUUGGGAUCCAACCUUAAGUGAGUUAUUUUUACAGGUUCAAACACAUUUCUUGCAAAUGCUUAUCAGGAGGUGCUGUCGCGUUUUUAAGCUAUAAAAAUAUUUGAGAUUACCAGUAAUAAUAAUCAGCUCUGGUGAUUUUGGGGACUGUUGUUCUGCACAACAACAGACUACUAGAAUUGCAUGGUCCAAUCUAGUCUGUGUCGGUGAAAUACAAUAAAUUGUCACUAUAACAUUAAGUGUUUUGGUGACGACCUGCAAAUUCCAUAAUUUCUGUCUGCCCUGAUCAAAAGAAAAAUACAGUGGAAAAAAAGACUGAACAUAGUUUGUAUACAAAUACAUUUCAUCUGAUUUCAUAACCAUGUUAAGCAUUUUCAAGGAAGCACAAAUAACUUAACUCGCAAAAAAACACAGUUUUGGAGAAAUAAGGACUAAACUCUAACAAUACUGCCAUGAUCUUAUUGCAGUCAUUGUCAUGAUAAAGUGUACAGUAUCAUAGUUUAACUGACUGCCACACAAAUAUUUAGUAUAGUUUAUGGUUGUUUGUCAUACACUUUACCAUUGUAGCACCCACUGAUACAUGAGAACACAUUCCUUCAAAAAUCUGGGAAAGCAGUCUGAUCUGGAGGAAAUAUUUUCCCAACUCCUUCCUAGAUGUGUUGAAUGGCGUCCUAAUCAAAAAUCAAUGUGCCCACUUGAGUGGGCCCACAAGGCUUCUGUAGCAGGUUAUGUAAUCUGAUAAUAUCAAUCAUAACUGUGUUAGAGGCAAUCCAUCUGACUUUCACAGGGCUGGGGUCAGUGAGUAGGGGGAAGGCAGGGUGAGGGAGCCUUGGCCUCCCAUGCCAUCAAUUACCACUUAUUAUUGGGGGGGUCUCACUCUGCCAGAGAGCUGUGUAGCUCCUCUUCCAUAAAUAAUAUUAACAGGAGCAGCCUCAUCAAUCAAUACCAGCACAGUUGUAUUGCUCCAGCCUAAAUGGCGGCUUCCAUGGCUCUCCAGCCUCGAUCAAUGACCAUGGCUCCUCCAGACUAACACAUAAGGGUAAAUCUAGCUCUGUUUGAGCCCUGGGGUCUUCAUCCUGCCUUCUCCAGCUACUCCAGUGUUCUUUCUUCCCGGGCUCUGUGACUGCCUGUCUCCAUAUUGCUUCUCCUCUGUUGAGCACUCAACCAUCAGUGCCAUCUAAAGCUCCUGCUAACUGCCGCCGCUGCGAUCUCUGCCAGGCUCGUGCGGGCUGGCUUGUUAGACGUAAGAUGCAGAUUGAGGAAGAGUCAGAAAAGUGUCAGAAAGAGUGAUUAUGUAGAAUUAAUGAGUCAUUUAAUGAUUCCUCAUCCCUCAAACCUUUACUUCUUUUCACUUCUCCGUGUGAUUUCCUGCUGUGUCGGAUGGGGUGUGAGGAAGCCACCUCAUUGUAGCUAGCAUGAGCAGGAUGGUGCUGGAUCAGAAUGAUGUGAAGUGAUUUUUCACUUUUUCUGAAACAGAUGUCACAAAUAAAGCCAUGUGAUUCCAUUUCUUGCCAGCACAUGCUCCAUAAAUUCAAAUUUAUGGGCUGUUUCUGUAGCUACAGGCAGGAGGUCGAGAUGGGCUACAUCAGUUCAGGAGGGUGGGGUGGUGUUAGGGGCAUAAUUACGGAAGCAAAUAAUUAGCGAGUGGAGUGCAAAGCAAGAUUAAUUAGCCUCAUCAUCUGCCUGUGACCUUAGCUCUUGCUAUUCAUUCCCUGCUUGACCAGCUCUGCCAUAAGCGAAUCAUUCAUCCCGGUUCUGAGCGCUCAAUGCCCAGCAACCAGCUAGAGAGUAAAAGGCUCGGGCAACCUUUGCCCGGGACUGUUAUUUAGACGGCUACAGCACAUGUGUCAUUGUAAGAUGUGAAAACACUCGUGUGUGGGCUGCAGUUGAGAAUAUUUUUUUUUCAGAAGGGAACACAAUAGACUUCUUUCAUAAAUGAUCUUAUCCCAAGUGAGGAUCCAUUUACUUUUAAUUUUGACAGAUAGGUGUGACUUUGACUAAUCUGAGAAAGAUACUGAGCACAAACGAAGAAUCUAAAACAUUCUGGUUGAUAGCCACACGAUCAUUCCUCUCACCAUCAGAGAAUGAUUACAUGCUUAUUUUUCAUAAAUGUGAAAUAUUUUCAUACUACUGAUUUGAGGUGUUUACACUGGAGGAAAUUAGCUGUAUUCAUCCCUCAUUUUUUUCCAGUUAAUUUUUUUUUUUCAAUUUUAAACCACAAGUAAAGGAUCUUUGUCCUAAAUAUCAAAAAACAUACAAAUAUUUGAUGGUGAAAACUUUCAAGAGAUUUGUAAUGAUUAAGAUUGAUGUAUAUUUGUAAUAAGUGAACUGUCGUAAAUGGAAAGCGAACUGUUUCCGAGUGUUUGCUUGUGCUGUAUUGUGCCCUCACCAGAGAAAAUCUGCUUAGUCCAACCUCAGCAGUGACUUCAAAUACUGGCCUUACACUGACCUGCAGACUUCAAAGCUUGAUCAAGCCUUCCCCAGACUAGGAGUUCUGUGGUUCAGGCAAUUUGUUAAACAGGAGAGAGGUUUAGUGUGAUUUGGGAGUGGAAGGAUGUUUCAGUAGUCCUGUCUAACCCGGAGCUCAGCCACUUAGGGCCUAAGGGGAUACACCACAACUACAAAAUAAAAAAAUUGAAAAAAGGGAAAAUAGGUAUUGCUUUACCAAGGGAAGACAAUUUCAUGAUGCCCUGGUAUAUACUCUCCUCUGUGUGCCAGACACUUUUAUCUUACAGACUUCAUGUUGUCAUGUCUGAAUGAUUAUCAUAAGAAUAAUUCAGUCAAUGGGUAAAUAAUGAAAAGUGCCAAAAGUCAGAUGGUCAGAGCAAUUGGACUGAACAAGCUUUAGUUGGUGUGAAAGUCCCUGUAUAUUUAAUUUCACAGGACACUGAAUUUUAAAAAUGCAGUUACAUACCAGGUGCUGAGUGUUUUGAGUAUCAUUAAGUAGAAGUUUCUCACUGUCAUUGCAUUUAAAAGAUUUUUGAUAUAGAUUGUUCAUCUACAAAAAAAAGGUAAAUUCUUGGAAAUUUUAUGCAGCUCCUUCCCCCAAAAUUCUCCAAAGUUUGGUUGUUUGUACAUUUUACUUUCAAUGCGUGGUCUACUCUAUCAGACGAGGGGUUUUUACCAUGUGUAAAACUGGCAGAUGUGCAGACAGCUUCACUAUUCUUGUCCCCAAGAAAUUGAAAUCUCCACCCUCAAUGUUAUUCAGCGUUGCUCCUCUGGUCUUGCACCACCCUCUCAUAAUAUAAAUGUCAAUACUAGGUAAACUACUGACUGACCACUGAAGUGACAGACAUAUUUUCCUGCAGAUCUCCUGCAGGACAACCUUCUUAUGCUGCAGACACAGAGUAUGUGAGCCUGACGAGGAAUAUCUGAUUCCACACAAUAACAACAAAAUCUACAAUGAAGUCGCAGUCCGCUGACGGGAGACUUUGCUUUCCAGUUAUGAGCGCUUGCUAGCAUGCUGCCUCCUGCUGUUUUUCAGAAGAAUUUUUGACUGGUCAUCACACUUUUGAUAUGCGGGUCCAGUCAGCCAUAUGUGGACAAAACUCAGAGAAAGUUGCCUUCACAGUUAGAGUAGACAAAUGGAGACGGAAAUGGAGUGAUAAUUGAAGAUUUUAAUUUCGAGGAUGUUUUCCAGCUAUAGAACGGCAAUAGUCCAUGGCUGAAGUCUCAGAAAGAUGCACUUCUUGUCCACACUAUAGACUUCAGUCUCAUGUAAAUGCUCUGUAGACCACAAGCUUUAUUUGAGUCACUGGGUCUGGUGUCAACUACAAGUCUGAGAUGAACCAGACAGGGAGGGACAUAUUUCACCAACAGUUGGCUUGUUUUCUUAAAGAAAGCAGCCCUGGUAUAAAAUUUGCCUGUUUCUAUUUUUUAAAGGUCUUGAAACUAAAUCAGAAUUUAAAUAUAUUUGGAUUUGAAAGUGCGACUAAAAUGCUCCCUCCUCGUUUUGCGCUUCAAAAUAAGUCAAAAUCUGAAGAUUUUGAGACUGUAGCUCUGUUAAAUGAUGUUUUGCAGGCAGUUAAAAAGCAUUAACUCUGAUUUCAAGAUGUUUAAUUUCAAUCAUUUUCAGUUGGGGGAAGUCCAAACCACUCCCUUGAUGAGGAUGUACAGUUUGACAUAAGCACUGUGUUUACCUCCAGUAAUCGUCACAGUCGGCUGAGAGCUGUCAAGUUAAGAUGUAUGAGUGGGUAUAGAAAGCGGACAUAAUUUCAUGGUAAAGAUGGGAAAUGUUAUUGCUGUUUGAUUAUUGAACCUUGCGGUGCAAAUGCUAAAGUCUUUAGUCUGGAUUAACGUUCGAGCUGGACCCAAUUAUUUAUGUGUACUACAAAAUGAUGUUUUGAAAUCUGUCUCCCCUUUUAAACACUGUAAACAAAGGCUAUCAAUCAUAACCCUCGACAGCUGUAAUUGCUACCAGAGAUGGUGAGUCAGUUCAAUCACUACUGCAUUAAGACCUUAUUCAGUCCCACAGAAUUCAGUGCCAGUCUCCUUAAUCAACAAAGUUUUAGGUUUAAGUCGAUGACCCACUAUUUCCAUUGGUGGAAACUUUUAAACUAAAUACAAACUGAUUUUCUAAUUGUCUCAGGUCUUCAUAGUUAAUUCAACUUGUGGCACUUUAUGACAAAGAAUUAGGCUGUCUGGACGGUAGAGGUAAUUCUUGAAUAUCACUUUGUAUGUGUUUGUUUCUCAUAUGAACCACAGACAAAAUUUAGACAACAGUCAAUCAUGUUUAGUCCUCAUACACUGCUUUACUCUAACUGAAGAAAGUUUUUCAUUUUUGCUGUGCAGUACCUGUUUUCUGUGUAAUCCAGUGUCAUGAUGUUCUUGUAACACCUCAGAAUUUAUUCCCUCUUUUUUACAGUUUGCUUACUUAUAUCUAUGUGAUAUAUAUGUGUUGCCUUAAGUGUAAACAUUAACAUUAUAAUAUAUAUAUAUAAUAUAUGUACAACAACAUUAUAAUGCAAACUGGUUUUCAUUUUCUUUAAAAUAUCACACACACAGGAUGCUUAGGACACAGCAUGAUUCAGAAAGUGAAUCUGAUAACUCAAUUGUAAUUUUGUAGUCCCCUACUCUUUGUGUAUUUCUUAUUUAUGAUUAGCCACGUUAUAACCCUCUGGGCUCUUGUUAUCAUAGAAAUGAGAAGCUGAUAUGUGAGUGGUUGGAGUCGAGGAGGAAGCUGAGAUGCUGCUCACUGACUCCUUUCACACUAAUGAAUGGAGAGGCAUAGAUUUUAUGGAGUCGAGUUGUAUUGACCUGUGGCUGACAUCCACUUUUUAGUUUCAUAACAUAAUCAGCACUUGACACAUGAUUAUAAUAACCCAAUACAAUUUACUGCAUUCUCUGCAAACACAUUGAUUUUUUUGAACAGCUCCCAGAACCAAUUACAUUAAUAUUGCUGCAUAAUUAGUUUACACAUUACUAAAUUACUGACAGAUUAAAAGUGAAAUAGCACAGUUCAUACCCUACCCACAUAACUGCCAGAGAGGAAAUUAAUAUGGAUUCAAAAGGUCCUCAGAGGCCUGAGCUGUAAAAGGGGAAAAAAAGCAACAAUCUAUAAGGCAUGCUUGCAUAAGGAUAUCCUGUCUUCAGGCUUGCCAGGUGUUGGUUUCAGCAGGGCUGCUCUGGCCCUGGCAAUUAAUGGCAAUUAAUAUGGUCUUUAGUUAGAUUUGCAUAUGAAUAUCGAUAGGGUCUGCUCCUAUGGGGUGGUUUAGAGUUCUUUUAGUUCAGAGAGUGUAUGCAAAACUACUGAGGCAGCCAACGCUUACAGCCUCCAUAUCAGAGCCGCCACUCAAGUCUUGAUAAGAGAUGAGCUCAUUUAUAAACACUACACUACUGUUUACAUCACAUAAAUUUACAGAGUAUUAAAUACCUUCAUACCUGUUGAUCAGUAUCUUAAAGCAGUAGUAAAUAUGCUGUUGUAUAAGAAUUCUCCAUAAGAAACUUGGAGGGAGUAUGCUGCCUAUGUAAAUGUGUCCGUCUGUCUUUAUAGGUCCACGCGUUCAGGGAGGAGAUGUUGUUGGCUGCCACAUAAGCUGCUUGAUGGCACACUAACUUUUCAGCAGAAAUGUAUUGCUCUGACCUUUGAUGUCCACAUUGAUCCAUUGCACUGAGUGGCCAUUUCCCCAGAAACAAACAUAUAUAAUUGGUAUUGGGAUCCAAUGGUGCUCUCUCAAUGUCUUGGGGAUGCUUUGCAGCAAUAUAAAUCAAUUCACACUUAUAGACACAAUAUGGAUGCAUUAGUGCUGACUAGUCAUUUGAGGAUGGCUGAGAGCUAAGAAUUCAAUAGACCUUGAUCAGGCACGACCAAUCUAUCUUCAUCAAUCCUCAACUUCUUGUUGUGCACCAAACCCUGAGACGGUAUCAUAAUUAAUUUUAUUUUAAGUCUUUUCUUUAACAGUGCCGUAGUUUUGCAUCGUUAUGGACGCCGUUUAAACAUGCCAAUGAAAAAGCAGGUGGUUGUGACUGGAAGUGAGUGCAGAAUGUAAACGAUGUUUGAAAAAUUGCGUGCUCUUAUAUCACAUGUAUACAUACUCGCACUCAUUGUGAUGAAUAUUGGACCAUUACAACGGCGCUUUUUUGUUUUAUGUACUUCCUCUGCCCUCCAGAUUAUAAGAUGGUAUAUUGCAGAGGCAUGGCAUCAGCCAGAGUUUACAUGCGUCAAUGCCUCUGAUGCUUUUCUCUGUUUACAGCCUCAUAAAUGACCUCUCUAAAUGACACAGUAAUACAAACAUCGCUUAAGCAACAGAUCUUUGCAAAAUCUCUGAGGAGACGCUAUUUAGUUGCUCAUUGGAUGCCAGUGCAGGAAUAAAAAUACAUUGAAACAUCUCCCUAGCUUUGAAUAAUACAUUUACAUAAUUCCCCCACUUUCCUCUCAAAGAUAUUGAUUCUUCUCAUUUUCCCAACAUCUCCUGAGCCCUCUGGUCUUGUUGGUUUUCAUAUCCAUCUUUGAAGUUAGCUGAAUAGACCCGCGGUAAAGAUCUUAAUUCUCCUUGAACUUCUUUGGCUGUGGUGCAUGAGAUGUGGGUUUACUGAGGAGGACUAUGCCAGAAUCUUUUCAUCGUCUCUCACUGCUGCGGGACUUAACACCCUAGUAUAACAAAUGUCUCCACACAGAUUGACCACAUCAGGAAUAUAGCAGAAAGAUCACUGACUUAUAAAAACAUACACUGUGUGUUAUCUCACAAAGUCCACAGCUAAGGAAGAGUUAAGGUUAUGGCAGGGGCUCGAAUAAAGUCUAAAUGAGAGCAGAUCAGAUGCCCACAGAUGGCUCUGCUUUUAUCAAAGAAUGACUCUUUUUACGUGUUUCAGGCUUUGUCUUUCUCAUGCCUCUACAUGUGUCCUCUCUUUACAUUGACACACUCUGUCCUUCUGUGGUCUUUAAAGUAGUCUAAAAUAAAAGUCUUUUGUAGAUGUUAAUCUGCAUUUUUACAAAUUAUAUUUCAAACAUUAUGCACAUAAAGUUCAAUAGCAGUUUUCUUAAUUGCUAACAGUGGCUUUUAAGUCUUUGUUAUUUUAGAAAAUGUCACUUGUUUAAACUAGGAAUCCUGUGUCUGAGGUAACGAUGGUUUUAUUGGUCAGUGCAGAGGAGAUCAUGCUACAGUUGUUACCUGUCCACCAUACAGCUCUGCUGUUUACUCAGCUGUAGGGCCUCUGCCUCCAGUGGAAGGGCAAAAGCAACAGGUCACUAAAUAUUUCAUUUCCCAAGUAAAACAUGCUUCCCCUCGUCAGCUGCAAAAAAGAAACAGAUCACAGUGAUGAAUGUGCAAUCAGGCUGAUUAAGUCGUUAUUAGUUGUCCACGAGAUCCACUGAAGGAAAUGAGGGCAAGAAGCAAAAAUGGUUGUUUAUAUGUCUCGUGCUCAGAGUUAUGAAUGUGAUUUGAGGAAGAGGCCUCCGUGAACUUUUACCUCCAGAGUUGAAUUAUGAUUCUGACAUGUCGGACUUGUUUCCGCUGUCUAGGUCAUUCUUAUUCAGACCUGUAGAUGUAGAUGUUUUUUUUUUUCCCUUGUGCACCAAACAGUAGGCUACCAUGACAACACGAGUUGCACGAGUGACUCUGGUUGGUAUUGAAACUGAAAUGUUCACUGUGGACCCAUCUGUCUGCAAACUCCCACUUCUCCUCGUUUUAAACACCUUUCUGCCAGCAGAUGGUGCUGCAAUCUCUUUGCACUGCAUCUACAGCUGCUCUAGACAACAUAUGCUCUCCUGGUCUCCCACUGCCAUGGACUGCACACUUUAAAAAGCCCCCCAAAAAAGUACGUCCAGCUUAGUUCCUGAGCUGAGCCAAAUGUUUGUUGAAAUAAGUGGAGAUUUCCUGGUUUUCUUUGUGCAGGAGAAAAAAAAGAAAAAAAAGAAAAGUUUCUUCAUAGGAUGAGCUCCAGGAGUUCUGCAAUUAGUCUUACUGGUGCUUUUGCUCUUUUUUUUCCCCUCGCUGAGCAGGAACAGACAAUGUUUUCCAUUCCAGUUGCCUCUGACUGUUGCAGAGAGGGCACCGGUGGGCUCAGUGUUAGAGACUGUUGUGGGACAUGGUGGGUAGGAUGGCCGGGCUAAAUAUCACAGCUAGCCCGGAUGUUGGGAGGCAUUUGGACGUAAGUAAGAGCGGAAUUCACAUUUUUGUUUGCACGGAGACAGAGCUGACAGCGAGGGGAGAGCAUGCUGGAUUUUAGUGUGAAGAGGUUAAUAAUUAAGCGUAUGAGCAUCUGCCAGGGUCUCCAUGUUUCCAAUUACAGGAAUAGGUUAUGUAGACUGUAGAGCUAAAUUAAUUCAAAAUUAAUAAUUGUAUUUUUCAUUUCCAAAAUAAAAUUUUAAUGACUUGUUUUAACUUAAUUUAUAAAUGUUAUUAUCAUGUUAUUAUUAAGUAAGAGACUUUUUUUUCUUUAAAACACCUGUGACUUGUCAAAUGGAUAACAUUUGCUUUUCACACCAUUAGGGGAGGUGUGGGCUGACCUGGAGAAGAGGUGUGUGUGUGUGUCUGUGUGUGUGUGCGUGUGUCUGUGUGUGUGCGUGUGUGUGUAGAAGGGGGAGAACCGAGAGUGGGGAGUGCAGAGGUGGGGGACCGUAGCGUGUAAGCUAUUGAAAGAAGGAAUGUGAGAGAGCAUUAUUGCCCACACUUCAUGUGAAUGGAAAAGGGGUUAAAGAAAUGACAGUGUACAGUGGGUGGUAGGGCCUCAGCGCAGCCUGGGAGGAAAUGGAAUGAGAAAGUGCAGUCAGGCAGACCACUCAUUCACCAUGACAAAUGGGAGAGGCCUCAGCCAAGGGGAUACCUGAUACCACACGGUGGACUGCGUGCACCUGCCUGGCUUCAUGUGCACAAAAGUGCAAAUAAACCUUAGCCACUUGUAGCAGCACAGCCCCAUUGAUGACAGAAUGACAUAUUCCAAUUACUUUAUAAUAAAGACAUAGAAAGUACAGUUGUAAGGUGUUAAUAUUUUAUUAAUUUUAAUUCACUCUUAACCAACCCUGAAAUUAAUAUUUUAUUCCAAAAAAUGACAUGAUUGUGUAUUUCUGGAAAAGGAUAAUAGCAGCAUGAAAAGACAAACAGUUUUAUUGUUGAAAUGUUAUGUGAGUAAAUUAUUUAGAAAUAAGCCACUACCAAAACUCAACUUUAUUUACUUUAAUAAAUGAGAACCAAAGAGGAUUCAACCUUGAACUGCAGUUAACCAGAAUAAAGCAGUACUGCAGUUUGUUACUGUGACUCAUUAAAAAUGAACCCACAAUAUUUGUCUCCAACUAAUUUGAAGCGAACAGAAGUUUUGAAACAUCUGAUUUAUUGUACUUGAAAAUACAGACCACAUUAGUCUAGAUUCAGCUGUUGCUUUAAUGGUUUUCUCCAUUUUGAGGGGAUUUUUUUGUAAUCAAAUUCUCAUGUAAAACAAAGAGUGAAACGUCUUCAUUAUUUUUUAUAACAAAUGCAUCAAAAUAAAUAGACCUUAAAGGAAAAAAAACUUUCAGAUCACUGUUCCCAGAAUCAUGUAACAUUAGCCCCUCAUUGAUAUUUUUUUCUUAGUUAUUUUAUUUUCGACUCCAGCUUAUUAGCCUCUCUAAAGUUUGUUAAACCUUUGUUCACAUUUGACCCAGAAUCAUUGAUACGCUCACAAAAAGCCGGUAAUCGCUUAAACAGGAGGUCACAAGCUGCAUGUCAUGAGGUUUCUAUCUAAAUUAAGUCAUAUAUCAAAUUCCAGGGGCAUAUUAAAUCUUUGAGAAGUGUUCAGAGUUGGAGGGGUUCUUCUAUAAUCCAAUUGUAUCGGCGGACAGAAGAAGAGACAUGCAUCAGGAGCAGAAAUGUCGUUCGGUUCACAUACUGGUGACACGUGGUUCAGAAAGUAUACUCUUCCUGGGUGCUGCUGUCACUCCUCUCUGAGCGCCCUGAAAGGAUUACUGACCUUCUCUCCUUUAGGCAGAUGAGUUGUGGUUACUGGUCAGUCUCUGGAGUCAGGAUGCAGUGCAGCAUGCCUUCAGAACACUCUCCGUCUCUCCUCUCACAUUUCAGUGUUUAGAUUUUUAGAUUGAGACGUGAAAUGACCACAUGCUGACCCCAGUCGAGCCUGGGGAGGAGAAUAAUAUAAAGUGAGCUCCCUCCGUAGGUUUUUAGAUUUACUAGUUUUAACCCUAGAAGUCUGGUAGCAUUGUUUCCUAAAAUGCAUUAAGCAGAUGAGUAUCAGAUUUUUACACUUAAAAUAAGUUAACCCAGAGGACGUGUAAAGCACCGGUGUAGCUGGUUAACUGCAGAGAGAUAACAGGCUGGGUUCUCUUCUCACAGGGUUUAAUUUAAACUGCUGACUUCAACUUAGAAGUGUUCCCCCAAACAUGAUCAAAAUCAAGUUUCUCUGAGUUUGUAGUGGUCUUUGUCUGAAUAAAAGAUCAAAAAUAAAGAUGUUCAUUUUACAUCAAUGGAGGUAAAUCUGUAGCUUGAAGUCAUAACCCUCUCAGUGUUUAUAUUUUUAAAUAAUUUGAUCCAUUUGUUGCUUCUGUUUAUUUGCUGCUGCUGCCAAACGGGAGAACAGAACUGUACAGCUCAUCAUUUACAGUAAAUAUUGCUCCUUCCCUGAGGUUGUGAAAAUGUUGUGAUUCUGUGUUUUCUUUUCCAGUCAUUCCGUUUUGAGACAGUCUUCACCUUUGGGACCUUUGGCUGCAUAACCCAUAAAAACAGAACUAUUUUAUUUCUGAAGUUGGUUAGUGGGAGCAUUUUUCAAUGUAUUUCUUUUGUAUUUCUUGUUACUCCUGUUUGCACCAUGAAAGAGUUUCCCAGCAUCUUAGCAGUAUCUUCCCCCUGCCAGCUCAAGACUUAUCAGUAGAUAGCAGUGCAGGCUCUCCUUUCUGCGUGAAGUGUACAUCCGCCCCUCCUGUGUGUGCGACUGCUCUACUUUAACCACCAGCAGUAAUACAUGCGUUUUGGAAACUUUGGCAUUGGCCUGAAACAGUUGUAGCUGGCUGUUUCCCACUAUUCCUGAACAGUAAGAACUAUUUACCGAAUGUUUAUUGCAACUGUCCUGAUCCACUGUUAUCGCUGCGUGGUGGUUCUGAGUAUUUCCCACCAUGCAUGCUGGUGAGUGUGUUUUUUGAUUCCCGCACAUAGCAUCUGGGUUAAUCUCAUAUUAGUCAAGAAGGAUCUUUCUCACAAACAGCCUUAGACUUGGUUCACAGAACCAUGCUCCAAAUUAAUCGCACGGUGCCAGUGGAUUAUUCUGUAUUGUAUAAUAAAUGUAAAUAUUUAUUUUUUAAAUGAUUGUGAAAUCUGUCGGCGAUUCUUAAAGAAGCUCUAAAGCACCUGACAAACAGCUAAUGUUAUGAGGUUGAGGAACAUGUAAUUCCCAAAAUCCAGAGUUUAAAUGAGUAAAUUAAUACAAUUCUAUUAACCGUCCUGAUAGCCUUUAUACUUUCAGUCAUAAAAUUUGUAUAAUUAAUUAAAAAUCUAAUUAGAAAUUCCCAUGAGUCAGUUUAUGUUGAUUGAGUUAAAUGCGCUCACUUGUUUUCUCUCAGGGUUGCCCAUCACUGGACCUGUGCAUGGCGUUUCUCUGUGUGCUUCCACUGUGCUCUGUGUAUUAAUGCUCUUCGGUGUGUCCUGUGCUUUGCAUUAUUCAGUUGCACAUUCCUGUCCUCUACACACACUCAGGUUCUCGCAGUAACUGUUUUAUUUCCACGCUGAAAUGUAUUUAUUUGUCCAGGAGCAGCGGGUGGCAGAGACAUCUGUUGCACUAAUCCUCAGCAGAUUAAACAAUAUGUUUUGAAUUAAGAUUUGACCUCGGAAUAAGCCUUAUCGUAUUUAUAAAUCAUAGUGAGUUAAAUAUGCUUUGUAAGUAGAUUAGGUCAUGUGGAGUCUCUCCCUCCCCCCUCUCCGACAUGGGCGCAGACUCUCAGCAGUGAGGCUGAGAGAUGUAAUCCAGAUUUAUAAUCCAAUGAUUCCUACAAGCUGUUUUGUGUUGUUAAAUACUGGAUAUUUGUGUUUAUUUAAUAUCAGACUCCCCCCAAAACUGCCAGUUGCUGUCUGGGUCUUGGCCAUCUUGUUACUCCACUUAACUGCAGGCUGAGAAAAGGAAUGAUACUGAAUCAUACAAUCUCGAUGUGCUUCAUGGAAUCAUGAUAAUGUUCACUGCAGUAUGAUGCUGAAUUGUUAUAGCUUUACGCGUCAAACUUCUUGGUAUUUUUUAAGGGCUUAUUUUCCUCGUCAUUAUUUAAUUUUCUCAUUCUACUGUAUUUCUCUGACAGCCUCUCUGUAUCAACUAAACUUUAAUAAACAUGCUGUCUUACAAAUUUUAGGAAGUACUUCAAAUGUUUAGCUUCUAGACACCAUCUUUGAAAAACAGCACUGUGGGGGAACAACAGCGUUUAAAAACAAACUCUCUGCACUCGGGAAUUUUCACGUUUUUUUAAUCCUUCAUAUAAACUAGUGUGCUGCAUUUAAACCCUCAUGAUUAUCAUAGAAAAGGCUUUUGUUUGUAGCAAGACGGUGUUGAAUUUAAAAUAAUUCAUUGAAAUUUAGGACGAAUCUUUUUUGUCCUUUUUACAUAAUUUUUUUUUAAGAAUCUCUGUCUUUCUUGAAUCCAUUAUUCAUCUUAAAUAUACAGAGCAUGGAUAUAUUUUCCUAUUCUAAGAAAGACAAGAGAGUGUGUGUGUGUGUGUCUGUGUGUGUGUGUGUGUGUGUGUGUGUGUGUGUGUGUUUCCCCUCCUGUGAAUGUGUGUGUAUGGUUUUGGUGGCAGGAAUAAAGCUUCGUUAAAGGUUUAAACCAGCUUUUUGUAUUCAUUCCAGUUCAACAGGUGCUUCUGAGAAUUGUGUCCUAAUAAGUGUUUACUGUCAUUUCUAAUUUGCAGUAAUUGAGUCAUCAUAAAGCUUAGUCUGAUUCUGAUUGUUGCUAUUUCUGUGUAGUUUUGCAGUAAGUGGAUUCUGCUUCAAACAGAUAUCCGCAGCACUCCUCCGACUUGCAUGUCCAAUAUUAUUAGUUGCUAUGAGUUCAGCCUGUGCAAAUCUGUUAAUGCAUAAGACCAUAAGAGCUUCUUAUGCUCAAAGCCAGGUCAGAGUGAAGACACAUCAGAUUAAUAUUUGAUCAUGCAGAAGGGCCCUUAAUCAGAUUUGCUUAUUCCCUUAGCUGAGUGCUCUGCUGCAAUUAUCAUAAUUGUAGCGCUAAACAUGCUUGUCUUUACGGCUGGCGGGUGGACGUGAGCAUGUGUGGUGAGAGGGGGAUUCCAGCACCAAACCCAAUUAAUGCACAAUGGAUGGUUAGGCCAGCUGAGGGAGAGGAGGAAUACAGGGAAGAGAUAGGGGAGGGCAGUAUGCAAGGAUGCUGGUCCAACCCUCCGACAGGGGCAUACCUCAGGGUCGCUCGCACCUGGAGCUCCACAGGACUGGCUCUCCCUGUGCUGAGAAAUCCUCCUUAGCCAUGCCACCAGAUUUGGCUCAGAGUAGGGGGAAGCAAAACUGCAACAGGAAAAUGUCAAUUUCCUUCUACGAGUACCUGUACGAUCUUUUUCUCUACUCUUCUGUUUUUAACAAACUCUGAGCUCAAGAUGAUAUCUUUUAUUAAAAUUAUUUUUAGAAAUACAUCAGAAAAUGUGUGAAAUAGGGAGACAAAUUGCAAUUAGCAGUAAUUUUCAUCCUUUUCAAUUCAUCAGGAAAGUUUAUUUCUUCACAUUUCUUUAUAGCUUGUUUGCAUUUGAUAAAAUCAUUGUGACAAAACAGAGAAACAACAACAAAAAAAUUAACAUAAUUAAAAUCGUUUUCAUUUUGCUGCCAGGAAAAGAAUUCCUUACGUUGCGUCACUGCACUGUUUAAAGUCCCUUCAUCAUUUAUAGAAACGUUUUUUUAAAUCAACUUUUUUCUAGUGUUUUGGUGUCAUUAAUGUACUUCUGUAGAAAAGCUUGCCCAGUCUUACAAAAAUCAAAAGUUGAAUAAAAGUAAGUGAAUUCACUUCUUAACUUAAGCAUGCUUAUUAUACCUGUCUCUUCCUGUUGUUGGCAGCUCUGGAAAUGAGGGGCACACAGCUGAAAGUGUCUGGGAUACACAAAAACACGAGUCAGAUUUUUUUUUAAUCUGUUUAUUUUUAAUGUUUUAUUAACAGUUCCUAAAUCCUACACUUCUCUCUAAGAAUUAAUCAAAUACCUGGAACAAGUUUCAUAUAAAAUGUCCUGAAUUAAAACAUUUCUGUGUGUUUGAUAAUGAAAUACAAAAAGGAACAUCAUAUCAAGCUGUAAAUGAUCGUUCAAAGCUGCUUAAAAAAACAUUUUAUUACCAAAAUCUCAGCUUGAAACCGGGGGACUCCUUUUCCAAAGUAUAAAUGGAAAAAUUCGAAAUAUAACAAAACUUAAUCCCUUUAAAAGGAAGACACAGUGUAGACAAAACAGCUUUGGUACACAGAAGUAAAGCAAAAAAUAUAUAUAGAACAAAGUAUAAAAAAAUAAUCACUCCUAUUGACAAUGUAUUUUAAAAAUAAAAAUUCUCUUCAGUGUAAGGAGACAAAAAUGUGCCCCAUUGUCUUUCAAGGUUUCUCUCUGCUCUAAAACAUUGUAGAAAUCUGGCUAAUCUUUCGCAGAAAAUCUGCCCUCUGUCAUUUUGAUGGUUCUCUGAUGAAUAUGUUUAUUCACACCAGUUUGUCAUAAACAUGUCUAUUAAAUAAGUGAGUCUGUGGACCAGUAGUGUCUGCAUGAAAGUCAUCCAUCCUGCUGGAGGCAUGGCACUGCGCAAGGAAACACUAGGAGAGAUGCUUCCCCAUUAAUCUACGCUGACUGGCUGGAAAUUGCAUCUUUGUAAUGAGUAUUAGGUGUGCAUCUACAUGAAUUAAAGCUGAAUGAGCCUCUGAUUGAUCACCUCUUCCCAAAUGAUGCUCCUUCUGUGAUCAUUAUUGUUUAAAAGUGACUAAAUCAUAUCGGGAUGAUUAAAAGUCUUCUGCUCUGAGGGGAGGGAAGAUAAAGUAUAGACACAGUGUCUGAGAAAUUGUGCUCCAAAGCAGAGGCACUUAAUAUGGAUUUACAGUGAGCUUUUUGAGAAUUGUACAGCACACACAAACAAACCGAGUACGAGUGAAAUGGACUGGAAAACAGGUAAUAAAUGGAAAUGAAGGAAAUGUUUAUUAACAUAUCUACUUCAGUAUCCAAGGUCCUGUUUAAGGGUACUCAAAUUAAACCAAAUCUGUUCCUCACUGUCUAGUACUAUUUUCUCAAGUUCCCCCUACACUAAAAUGCUAGAAAAAAAUAUUUCCUGUCCUGCAUCCAGGCAUGAGAGAGGUACAUUUCACCACUCCACACUUGUUUAAGAUGCCACACAUUGAGCUAUGACGGUAUGAAGUAAUUUUUCUUUUUUCUUUUCUUUUAAAAAAAAAAAAAAAAAAAAAAAAAGCCUGACCACAUGAAAGGUCUGUGAGGGUACACAGAGUGCACAGGCGAUGUUUGAAGUCAGGGCCAAAACGUCCAGGUGCUUUUACAGGCAUUGUGGCAUUUAUGUGGUCUAAACUAUAUGUCUGGAGUCGCCUGUACAAAAGUGCUAGACAUCCCUGCCAGGUAUUCGCUUACUUCAUAAACUACCUUCAACUGUAGGCAGCUGAUUUGCUGCAGUUCAAGUCUGAGCCAUAAAAUUGUGAUUGUUUGGACUCCCAGUUGACUGGUAUCUUCAAAUAAGGGCCCACACAUUGAACAACUGGACAGACCACAGCGCGAGUUCAACUGUUUGCACGCAGCCAUUUUUGCAGCUCCACAGUUUAAAACUUGUAAUCGUGAGGGAUUGUCACGGAACCUGUUAUUGUUUCAGGGAUAGAUUGUAAGUGUGAUUUUCCCGGGAGCAGUUUGGCACACGUGGGAAAAAUAACAGCUUGUUUCGAAAAGGAUGCAGCUUCAGAGAAAGAGCAGACCUCGUCACCUUGUAUCCCGACAUAUUUACUGUACCUGGACACACUAAUGUUCCUCUUUAAUGUCUUUCUGGUAAUUAUACUGCCAAGCACCCUGUUGGGGUAAUUAUACUAAAAACACCCUCAUUAGCAGCAUCAAGAUGUAAACCCCCAGAAGCCUCGGUAUCUUUCCCCUCGUGCACCCUUGAAAGGCGAGUUAUUUGGCCAACCUCACUUCAUACUUAACUUUUUACUUGAUGCAGUAGAGUGCAGUUUCACACCACUGUUUUUCUUAUCAUGGUGCAUGGAAUUUGUGAAAAAAAAUGCGUUUUUGUUCAUUCAACAUAACAGAUAUUGUCAUUCCUUUAACAGGCAUAACACUUGUAGAUGAUGUACUAAUAGCUAAUAAGCUUGUGGUUAUGCUUUACAGUUGUUUGGAAUAAAAGAUACUGGGUUUACCUAUUCGGGGUUUAACAGAGGCAUGCACAUGUCAUGAGAUACACACACACAUUUACAGACAAACUGGCUGGGAGGAGGAAUAAACUCUUUUCAGUGAUGAAUCUUUAUAAGUUUACAUAAAAACUGCGAAAGAGAAAUAUAUUGUAGGAUAAUUGCAGAUUUCUUUAUUUAAAUACAAAGAAGGCUUAAACGUGUCAGCGCAGCCAUUUAGGGAAUAAAUAUUAGGAAUAGUAAAUAAAAACGCAGCGCUGAAUUUUUGCUCUGCUCACACAAAAUGGACAUACUGCUCACCAUAACAAACCAGCAAAGAAAUUACAACAGUCCUGAGCCCUGUAUCGUCUGGCAAUUUGCUCUGCUUAAAUAAUUCAGAGGCUUGCCUUUUUUAUGUCAGCAACUGUGUGUUUUCCAGUGACAAAGCUAGCCUCACCUAAUAGUUUCACUGCGUCUGCCGUUUUAUGACUGACAUAGCAAUAAGCAGAUUGUCCGGAUAUUUAUGCCAUCUGCAGCUAGGAGAGAUAAUUAAAGUAUAUAAAUUAAUCAAGUGCAAUUAAUUAGUGGCUUUAUGUUCACAGCAGUACAUCUUUGCAUGUAUAAUUUAUAUUUAUUGAUUUGUUUGGUUUCAUUAGCCUAUAAGAUAACAGUGCAAAUGCAUUAGAGGGGAAAAUGCACAAUUAGCAUGCAGUAAGGGCUGCCUGUAAUUGAUAGAUCAGCGAGCACUCCCUGCAGAUAUAAAGCUGUGUAAACUGUCAUAAGCAGUUACAAUCGAUGACUGAUAUUUCGCGCCAUAUCUCCUGCUUGAUUAAUGAUGUUUUUGAAAGCAGCCCCCCACUUAAUGGGUCCCUGAUAGGCAUACUGAAUUUACUGUUUAAUCAGGGGAUAGAAUUUAUUAUGGUCCAGAACCUGUGUCGUCGCUGGUGGAAAUGUAUGAUUGGUCUCUGUAAGUGCUAUGCUGAUGUUAUUUGCUCCCGUCAGCAGCCAAUAUGGCUGAGCAUUAAGAGCUUUGUGCUUCCCAGUUGAUUUUUCAUUGACUGUGCUGCCAUCGUUCAUCACUGGCUGCUUUCCUUUAGAUCUGCAGAGCAGAGAGGAAAGCAAGCCGGGAAGUCAAUAGUAGCUGAUGUGUUUGUAGCUUUCCAGCGUUUCCUGCAGAAUUAACAGUGUUCAAACGGCACUACAAACAUGAUUAUUUUGUGAUAAAGCUUUAAAUUUGGGGAAUCACAGAGUUAUUUUUAUGCCAUGGACCUGAUUUGUUGUUGAAUAUCCUGCUGACAUUCAUGUACAGUUCGUGUAUGUAUUCAUGUAUGAUGUCAGGGAGUAGAGUACAUUUGGAUCCCGUGACUCUACAUGGAGAGCUGCGUUCAGAAGUCUCUCAACUUUACUCUUUCAUAUUCCUCUGUUAUACUUGCCCCUCCCACUGACCUUGUAAUGGAAACUGGAGUCAUGUGAAUGGGUAGCUCCUGUUUGCUGCGGCUGACAUAUUUUGAAGAUGCUGUCACUAUGUGUUGCGUCACUGAUAAUUCAUGUGGCUGUUGCAAUAUAAUUACCCUAAAUAGGAUGUGGGUUUUAUGGGCACCACAUGUUGCUGUUUGGGAGCAGCUUCUGUGUGUUUCGACUCUUGUUGAGGUCGACAACUUUCUCUUGUUACACUUCUUCUCCAGCCUCAGAUGUGAUGUUCCCUCUACGCUCAGUAUUCCCAGGAGAUGAGAGGCGCAGGUGUGUGGUUUUGCAGUAUUAAGUUAACCAGACGUCUGUACGGUGCGGUGUACUGUAUGUUGUACUGUGUGUGUGAAGGGUUGGGUACUGCAGCUGGGUGCCAGACUUCUACAUUUUUUUCCCUGUGUCUGAGGCGAUUUCCUCCCCUUAUGUCAUUGUAAAUGCUUACAGAGACACCGCCCCCUCUUUAAGGUUGCAGAUAUGUGCUGGGGAAGAGGAAGGAGCCAUUUGCCUUCUGGUGAUGUGCUUAAAAUUGGGUUCUUACUUUACACCUGCUGGUAUAUACUUUAAUUUCCCAUCCUUAGGGCCGCUUCCAAGAUGUUGAGCUGAAGACGGACUCUAAGCAAAAUUCGCUGAAUGCUUACAGCCUGUACCUGUCUUUUCUGUACUUUUGUUUGAAAUAAACCAAGGUUACAGACUAGGGCUGGGUAAUAAACCGAAAAUUAACCAAUACUGAAAUUUACGACAAUAAUCAACGUCAUUUUGCCCAUAUCGGCAUAUUCGUGUCAAAAAUAUGAAUAAAUAAAAGUUGGUUUUGGAUGUGUGUAGGUAGGCUAUGGCCUCAUGUCCCUUUAGGACGCUGUCCUAUGUCAUGACAGACGUGACUCCACCCCAUCCAGUCUGUAACAAAGAAGGAAAGACAGGUGAGGAGAUGGAGGACGGUUCAGAAGUUGGAGCGGCUGAAGUAGACAAAGUUAAUGUGGGAGGAGGUGAGCAGCUUGUGGAGUAGUUAUCGUCCAUUUACCGUUAUCAAAGUCUGCUCAAUAUAUCAAGAUAUUGAUUUGAGGCUAUAUCGCCCAGCCCUAUUACAGACUGUUGAUCAUGAUAUGAUUCUCCCCUCAAAAACAUAUUGAUGUAUAAGGACUAUAACGAUGGUCAGUUACUAUGAAUAAUGCAAAGAAAGGUCUGUUGCCCCUGAAGAAACAGUAACAGAAACCCUGUGACCUUCCUCUCCUCCCUGUUACUCGUGCUCAUACUCAGAGCUAACAGCUGGAGAUGUUUGGGUCUUGCUUUCCUCUGAUCCUCUCGUCUUGCCGUAGGAGCUGGUAGAGCAGUAGGCUGCCAGAUAGCAGAGCCAUAUUGACCCUGCUGGACCUUUGUGGCUCUUAAACCCACAACAGGCUAUCUGAUUUCCUCCCAAAAGAUCCCCAGAGAGUGAGGGCAUCCAUUUUUCCUAACUUGUGUAUAAGUAAACUGGAGGACCUGACUGGGAGGUCAAAUCAAUCUCUGCUAUUUAUUACAUAGAAAUGUGACACUCUGUCUUAAAUGCUCCAGUCCUGAGGGAUUUAACCGUGUGUCUGCGUUAUGUCUGCAGAGUGUGUGCUUGUGUGUGUGCGUGUGUGUGUGUGUGUGUGUGCGCUUACCACCGAGACGGAGAGCGCUGAGUUUUACGACCAUUGUGCCAAAUUGUCUUUUUCUCCGUCUUGUCUCUUGUAAACAAAGAUGGGUUAAUAUGUCCUUUGAAGACAGUUUUAUGUAAAGCUUUUAGCCCUGGUGUAUGUAUCAUAUUUACUGUAAGUACACUUCAAACACGAGGGCAGGCUAAUGCAGUGAGAAUGAGUAAGAAUCAUAGUCAUGCACAGGUCAACUCUUGAACACAGAGUCUAAAUAUGAUCAGUAUCUCCUGCUAGAUCAGCAGGCUUUGAUGCUCGCUCAGGUUCAGUAGUCUGUAUUAAGCCGUUCAGACGGUGCAGGAAAAUAUGACAGUGACACAGUCAUUAGCCCCUAAAGGGAGGAUGCAAUCCUGUUUCUGUGGGAAGCAGAGCUCUGUUUACUGCGUGACAAUGUGAUAUUGUGCGGCUCAUGCUGUCUUAAUUGGAAACAGUCUCACCCCACAAAAGGUGCAUAAGACCCUUGAUUUUGUGAGGCAAUCUUCCCCCUCCCAUUUCCCACCCCCCAUCACCCCCCUCUCCUCCUCCUUCUCCUCCUUCUCUCUGAAGAGCAGCAAAACCCCCUGAAGCAUUUCCUUAAUCCUCCGGAAGAUCAUGCUCUCCCACUAAAUAUGGUACCUGUGGACAAACAAUGGAUUUUUCCAUAAUAAUAAGUUGAAGAUUUCAUUAUGAGUGGCUAAUGGAUGGACGGGUCCAGGCCCAAGCAGAGACACGGUGAAGCCUCCUUUUGAUCAGCAGCAUAGGGUUAAUCCAUGGUAAGAAAUAAUGGAGGUUUAGAGGAGGAGGGGGGAGCAGUAUUGAGCUGGGCUGAAUUUACAGCCGAGAGGGCUCAGUAAAAGGAUGAUUUUUAGAGCCUCUCGCUGCGUAUUGAAGGGAAGACUGUCUGACAAGUCAUCAAUGAGCCCCGGCGCUGUACUAAACUAAUGAAAGCUGCAUUUGAUCUUCUCCGAAGAGGUUCAAUACCACUCCUGCUAUUAUUUAAGUCCUCAGCUUCACCCAAACCUGUUUUCAGAUCCACAGAAAUCAUUAAAUUGCACAGUGAAGUAAACUGUGUUUGUAAGUAUCGGAUGAGGAGGAAAUAUCUAAACUGCUUAUAAUGUAUCCCUGCUGAUUGCAUCCAAUAGACACUUCUCCACUUGUUUAGUGCUUGUCUGCAUCUUUCUGCAGGUCCAGGUUUGGUUAAUUGUUACGUCUGUUUGGUCAGAAUCGUGUUAUUUACAGAAUAUUUCCGUUUCAAAUGUUGUAGGUGAGCUCAGACUGAUUUAUUAUCCGCUCAGACUUUAAGACAGUUUGCUAUCGCUUUGUUUAGUCAUCUUGUGAGGUCUGAUUGUGGAGUCCUUGCAGAGGCUUGAAUUUAAAAUGCUUAUAAGGACGGUCCAUGAUGCUUUUGAUGUAGUUUUGACCUUGGCUGUAUUCGACCAUUCUGGUUAAAAAGAAGUCCGACUUUCCCACAUAUCAAAUCCUAUCUGCUGCCCAUCCGAACUGUUAAACUCAGCUCUCCUGUUGGUUGUAUUAUUUCCUCAGUGAACUUGGAUAAAAAUUAAGUCAGAUUGUUGGAUUUAUAGUCAAGCUCAAAUCUCACAGACCACCCUAACCGCACACAAGAGGCAAGCAGGAUGAAAGAUUCAGUCUGAGCCCGUGCCAAGGAACAGGGCAUGCGUCAUCUGCUAACAUCAAUGACGGGGCUGCACCGCAAGCAAAACAGCCCAUCCUCGCACUUGAACUGCAGUGAUUCAAGGUUAUGUUAACUAAAACAUGUUGAAGUAAUAAUAUAAACACCGUGAUAAACCAGCCGUUUGCAAGAUCUCGGUCAUAAAUCUGGCCAGAGGGGGCCUGACUGAAAUUUGUGAUGACAUCAAGUGGUUGUUAGUGUAAAAGUCUCCCAUUAUGCAUCUGUUCUGUAUCCCUCCUGUCCAUCCUGGAGCAGCUUUAGUGGCAUACUUUGACUGAAUAUUGUAAAUAAAUACAUAAAGGGGUAAUUGAUUCUGUGAAAUGAUAACUAAAUUAUCUAUUAAGUUGGCUCAAUUAAAAUAUUGAAGUAUUUUGUGUUAAAGAAUUCCUCUAAACUUUCUUUCAAAGACGAGAAGAAAGGUUGCCUGCUUCAACAUCUUCAUUUUAGUCAUAAUCUUGACUUUUUAUGGUUUCCGUCUGGAUGGAGGGUUUCUUAACGAUGAAACAGAGGUAAAAGUUUGGACUGUUCACAUUUUAUUUUGGAGAACAAUAGAAGGUUAGGCAGGAAAAAAGGCUGUUUUCAUUACAUAUUUAUGGGCUAUUUUCAACUUUGCCCAGACUUAAAUCAUCAGAGCACAAUCUGGAUGAACUUUUUGGAGGCACAUUCUUAGUUUUGAAUCAAAGUCUUGUUUUUUUUUUUGUCUGUUAAGCCUACAUGCAGUCAUGAAGUAUCAUUAAAAAGCCCUCCCUGAGUAUCUCUUCAAAGGCUGGUGCUUCAUUUAUCUGAAGUCGUGUUUGGUAGGUGUAAGGAAGCUAUAAAAAUCCAGUGUAAGAAAAAGAAAGAAAGGGAAGGACAGAGGCUGGUUAAAAGGGAAGUCAGCGAGAAUCACAGUGAGUUCAGGAAAGAGGGCAGUAGAGCUGGAUACGGACCAGACAGAGACCGAGGGCUACAGGGGCACAUAGAGUAAAGAGAGAGAGAGAGAGAGAGAGAUGCAUGCUAGAAGGGACAGCCCUGCUAAUCCUCACAUAUAUGUUCUCCUAAUUAAUCCUGAUUACCACUUUUUAAUCGGCCUGCUCAGGCUGCCCUGGAAUAAAGUGACACUUCCUAAUGAAUUAAACCUGCAAUUUACAAUUGGUGCACUAUUUUCCUCUCUGUUGUUUUUUUUUUCUCCACCUUCCAUAUUGGUCCCGUGUGGGAGCUCUGGGUCUGUCAGUGGCGUGUGGUCUCACUCUACACUAGUUAACUGCUAAAUGCUCGGGUCACACCUGCGCCCUUUUAUGGGGUCUGGCAAAUCAGUGGGGUUAGUGUGAAGGGGUUGAUCAGUCCAGCUGCCCCUGUUUGAGGAUAUGCAAGACAUGCACUUCUAUUGGAGAGUGGCUUUCAUGCACGUGCACAGAGGUUUGAGGAACACAUACAUCAAAGUUUAAACAAAUCAUGUCCCCCUUUUAGCUCAAAACCAGCUCCUGUGUGCAUUUUUGAGCUCCUGCUGAAUCAAAAGGGUCUCAUAAAAAUGUUAAGGCUCUCUGUGCCCGGGUGAGAAAAGCAAAGUGUGAUCAACCUCGACCCCUUGCUCAGUCUAGUGUCUAAUCCAAUGAAAUGCGUUUAGGUGCAGAAAAGGUAAACAGAUAGAUUGCUGACCCCGCCUUUACUUCCAGGUCAGCAGCGCCCGGUAGCCAAGCGGUUUGAGACCACAACAGUAAUGAACUCUGUCCCCCUGUGGUCGGGCCCUCUGCCUCCCUCAUUUGAGUGGGUGCAUCCCUGGGAGAUGGGAUCCUGUGAAACAGUGAUUGUUUCCACGAUUAGGUGGGAAGAGCAGGGGAGCCGUGCUUGUGGAUCCCUCCCAAGGAUUCGCUCCCUCAACAGAGCCGUGGCUGAAAAACAAUAGCCAGCUGUCGCCCAGUGGCUGAUGUGCCUUUGAUCAGCCAAAUGAAGGCUGCUGGCAUUUCUUAUGGAGUGGAGAUUGCUUAUCGAUCUAUAUCAAAAUAUUCAUGCUAAUCCCGGGGCAGCGGAGACUAUUUUCAAGCUGGGUUAGCAAUCAGAGCUGCCGUCCUGUCUAGAGCGAUUCGCUGAGCUGGGAAGUCUAAUCAGCUCAGGGUCCUGCAGUCAAAUGCACUUUGCUGUUUAAAUUUGGACCCCUGACAUUGAUGGAGGAGUCCAGAGAAAGGUGUUGACAAACCAAAUUGUUUGUUCCAGCACUAUUUUGCUAGAGAUCAAGUCCAGAGUAAUGCGCAGUGAAUUUGUUCAUUACCAGCUUGGGUUGCAGAGGAGUGGGCCGGGAUUUUAGCUGCUCCCCACUGCAGGAGGACCAGUGCUGCUGGGGGGUGGGGUAGGGGGGGCUAAAUUAUGAGUGUAUGCAUGGGUUUGUGGUGUUUGUAGCUGCUUUAGGAUUUGUAGCAGUAUCCUUUGUUUUCUUUUACCUUGUAUUUUUAUAUUUUUUUUAUGGGCUGUUGCUAUUGUGACAAUAGUUUUAAGGUAGCUACACCAGUGUGUUGCACGGUCAGCUGAUGAUCUCCUGGCAGUGAAACAACGCAACCUCCCCAGACUGUCUGUCUUCACCUGGGGGACAGAUUGGUUUUGCACACCCUCUCAAUCUGGCACCAGUUUAAGUUUCAUUUUAUGCAUCUAACAAUAAAACUACACAUUUAUAUUAAGUGAAUUUCAUGAACCUAAUUUAUUUGACACAAAAAAGAAACAACAAAAUCCACUCUCAGAAAUAUAAGAAUUAUUACCUUUUCAUUUCACUGAACUGUUUGUGGCCAAAAAUACAUUUUACAUAAGUGUGACUUUGAACGGGUUUUUGCAUGUCGUCUUUGAUCACAGAUUAUGUUUCCUUACUUCCUCUGGGGAAAAAAAGAGCCCCUCCUCUGUCCAGUGACGCAGGCCUUUCUAAAUCUGUCGCCAUGCUUUAAUACUGUCAUGCAAUUAUUGUGCAAAGAAAUCUGUGAAGAAAAAGCGUUGCCAGAGUGGAGAGAUUAUCCUGCUGGAGGGUUGAAGGGCUAAUGUCUUGCCAUAUGGCCCAGAUUGUAAUGUGCAGUGUCCUGCUUCGGGGUCAAUCAUACAUCAAGUAUUAGUGUCAGGUGGGGAUUAAUGCUUAAUGUUCUCUCACCUCAGACAUAGCGCACUGUACUCUACCUGGCUCUGGUUACUACCCUGACAUGAUGUAUUUCUCAUGCUAGGUAACAGAUGCUUCCUUGAUGACAGUUUUAUGUCGGUUGUGAAAAUCAAAUGAGCAGAAAAGCACAAAAAUAAAGAGAUAAUUUACUAUCCUAUCGAUAAGAGGUGCCUAAAGUUGUUUGUUCAUUUCUUUUCUAUCGAGAUACAGAAUUGUUAUCAAAUUUUAGAAAACAUUCGACUUUUCUCCUCCUUUCUUUUGCCUGUUAAGCAGCCCGUCACCUCUGAAAAACUCUUCCUGUUUGUGUUGCUGUUGCUGCAAAAACCAGCGAUUAGUGAGAUUAUUGCUAUUGUUGACUGAUGCAGGGCCAUACAUUCUCGCAGAGGGUGAUUUACCCCACACUUAUGGCAUAAUGCUCGGCUUGUUCACACCGCAGCCGAGGAUGUUUCUGUGAACAUAAUCAAGAUUUAUUUUUCAGUUUCCACCCUGAUAUUAGCUUUAUAUGGAUUGUUAUAAUUCAUCCAAUAUAAGUACGCCAAAAAGAAGCUGUUAUUUGAUGCGCAGUACAGCAUGUUAUGCAUAAUCGUAUAUUAUUUGAUUAUUGCCGCUGUUAAAAGCAUCUUAGUUUUUCCUUAGGGCAUUUCUCUGUCACUUUAUAAGGGAUGUGUAUACAGUAUUUGUGUGAGAUAAUAAUUACUAUGGAUCUUGCUGUUGCCUCAAAUGGCCCAGCGCUCCCAGCCACUCUUUGUCACCUGGUGGAGUGUUAAGCCAAGUCCUGGCGAGGGCAUUAACCUAAAUGACUAUAUAAGUAAUUAGCCUCAUAAUCCCUUUUUGACUGAUUAGAAUUGAUAGGUUCUUGCUCAUUUGACACGUGAGCCUCUCCGUAUGAAUCCUCUCAAAACUAAGUGGCAAACACAAAUGUCAAGGGGGGGCCCAGACAUAUUGUGUCGUAAUGAAACCACAAGAAACAUGGUAAUAGGGAGGGAGGGUUAUGGGGAGGGUGCGACUUGGCAAGGUGAGAUCUGUGAUGUUUUUUGUGUGUCUGUGUGUUUGUGCGAGGUUCACAUAUGUCAGACGUGCAGGAUGUAAGGUGCAGGUGUCGCCAGGCUUUGGUGCUGCCUGUCACCUUGUGAAUAAACAGCAGUUGUUCGUUGGGGAAGGCGGGACUGAUUCAUGCGAGAUUGGCAGAACAUGGCAGAUGGAUGUACUUUUUCAUAUGUGUAAAUAGUCACAGCUAGCUAUUAACAUACCUCCGUGCAGAUGGCAAACUGUAAUAAAGUACAGGCGAUAAAACAAGCCUCCUCGUCGAUGGCUGACGCCCAGCCGAUGUUUGUUCAUUUUUACAUACAGUGCAAUAUGUUCUGUAGCACAAGGGCACAAUAACUAGUGGGGAUAUUUAGGAGUGCUUGUUGUUCCUGAAUAAUAAACAGUUUUUGAUGUUGCAGUAAAAGCAGUUUGAUCUGGUUUAGCUUUAAGUUCCAGAAGUUGAAAGCUUCAUUUUUUUGUUCUGACUUUAUUCUUCUGCUUUAGGCCUGUUGAAUUAAAAGAAAGAUUUUAUUCUAAAUGGAUAUGUUCAGGAUCAAACUUGAUUCUCAUAUAUUUGACUUGACUGAAACAUGAAUUCAGGCUCUGUUUCCUGCAGUUGUAGGAGCUGCAGCCAUAACGUGAGUGGUUCUGUGUUACAUUACCAUUGGUUCUUCUCAGACUCCAGGAUCUGCUCCUUCCUGACUUCAGAGACCCAGAAGAGGCAGAAAAACGCAGACAGACUGAACAGCAGCUGAGAACAACUGGGGCGGAUGGGUAGACGGAGGUGGAGAAACAGUCAAAAGGAGAGUGUGAGCUGGAGUAAAAGAAAAAAGCGGGGGUGCAUGGCGUCAGCAUCCAGAUGCAUCACAGCCCCUUGCCGCGGAGAUGUGUGUGCUUGUAGAGUGCGUGCAUGCGUUUGUGGAGCCCAAGGACUUGUUGUCUGUCUGCUGCCGGUCGUGGCAGCCAGCUGUCAGGGGAGCUCAGGGAGAGAGAGAGGGGGCCAGGUGAAAGGAGGGCCAGCGGCAGACGAGGACUGGAGCCAGCGCUCGCUCACUCCAAAUGAAUGGUGACAAGAGCGCGAGAGCCAUUGAUCCACUGGUCAAAGCACCCCUAAGGCUGCAACCUAAUGUGCUGAAAAAAGAAACAUCAGCCCCAGUUGGGGCCCAGGGAGGGAGACAACCCACACCGGAUGAAACACACCCUCAUCACAACAUGAAGGAGAUCAAUAGACAGAGCUGGUGGAGGUGCUUAUUUCAUACAUUUACAUCCAUUAUGGAGCAUUAAUCUUAGAAAGUACCACUUUGAGGAGUUUUUGGAGAACAAAGUUGGUACUCUCAUUAAAUGAGAGAAUACAAAAUCCAUAACCGUAAUAGUAAGCUCCCUUAUUUAUAAUACACACUGAACUUUGCGCAUGUUAAGGAUAAUAAUUAUUUAGGAUUUCAAUGGUUCUUAUUCUGAACAUGUGUCAUUAUUCGAAAUUAUGUUAGAAUAAAAGUUACAGCCAACAGUAAAUAAUAAGGAAACCCCUACAUGAAGACACACAUUUUUUUUAAACACUUGAACAUAUAUCAGCUGUUUUAAUGCAAAGGCAGCUGCAGUGUAACAUUUACAGUAAAAUUUUAUUUAGGUGAUGGUAUUCAGUUUUUUUUUUUUUUUUUUAAAACCUCUGAUAACAUUUGCCUUACACUUAACAGAGUUCAUCACACAUAUCUCUGACUUUUAGCCAUUUCCUGAGAAUUUCCAGAGUUGUUGUUCUGAAUAAUGCCUCACAGCUACAGUACAUGUGUUAAGAAUUAACGAGCAAACAUGUACCAAAAAAGCAUGGAAGAUGCAACACAGGAAGUAGCCGGAGCCAAUUUGCAAACAGCGUGCAAGCAUAAAACAUGACAUUAUCUUAACCUGCUCCUAUAGAUCUAAAUCUGAUCACUACACAUCAGUGCGGAUAAUUACCUCGCUCUGCAGAGUUCGUUUGUCGUGAGCAAAAUAAAAUUACAUGAAUUUAAAACUUGACUGAAAAUGAGUUUAAAGUGAGAGCGAAUGAAGAUUCAGCAGCCGUUCUUUGAAUAUUAAGAUGUGUCCUGAGUGCUUUGAUAUUGGUCUUACUCGGUGCGGUGACACCCGAUUGGCCAGUGAAACCUGAGCCAGGUAGCAGGGCACAGGAGGGCCCUCUGUGGGCGUAGCGUUGAGCUGAUUGAUCGGGGAUGCAGGCUGAGGGAGAUGAUUGAUUGAUUGAGGUUGGUUAGGUGACAAACAAUGCAGCGCCUAGCCCAUCAAGGUGCAGCCCUGUCAGUAACAAUAACCCCUGAUUGCCUCGGCUCCUCGCCUUUCCCCCCUCUUCUCACUCUCUCCUCUAGUGCACCUCUCCGUCUGGGAAUACAAAAACAGUCGUUUGUGUACAUGAGCAAACGCGCACACAGACAAAUACCAACAAACAAAAAGUACUCCGGGAAAGAAAAAGUCUGAAAAUGAAGACUCUGAGGGCUCAACCAAACUCUUGUAAAUAUUGACGACAACAUCGAGCUUUGUUUUCUCCGCACCACACACCUGCAUGUGUGCUCAUUUCACUUCACCUUUUCUCAGCGCUCAACGUUCAAAGCAGCCAAUGGCCCUGGGCCCCUCACACAUAUUAUUCAUAUUACUGCCCAUUCUGAAAAAUUAGUCGCCAGGAUAUCCCUUUGAGAUUGCACAGAUUAUCAAGCUCAACUUCAAACACUUCCCAGGUUUAGUUUAAAGCACCACACAACAUCUAUUAUCUGUUGAACUUGGUUUUAGGGCAUCAACCAGGUGGUGUUUUUGAGCCAAGAAGAAACAUGGGUGUUUCAGUUUGCUUUUGAUGGAGCAUGGCUAAUACCCCGACCAGCUAUUAUCUAUAGAUGAAUCUGAUAAUAUGAAUUUCUAUAACUAUUUCAUUAAGACCCUCACAACAUCCUUUGUUUGGGAUUAAACUCAGUCAAGAUUUCAAGUUGCUUUUUUGCAUAAUGCUCCCUACAUGUCUGACAGCCUGCCCUGCGGCUCUUCCGCUCUAUGUGGACUACUUGGCGGGUCUGCUCUGCACAUUUGGUUCAUGUCCCACACAUUUCCUAUCUGGUGGGCAUCACAGGCAUUUUGCUUUAAUUGCCAGGCGUUCUCUGACUGAGUGCAGCUUAUUUGUAUGUUUGUUUGCCUCCCUGCCUGAGCUAUUGGUAAUCUAUUCUCUCUUCUUAGCGGGAGGAAACUGAGGCAGCCAGUGUCUGGAUUCAUUGAACUGGCAACAGGGUUAGUGCAUUAUCAUGCUGGGUUAGAUGUGGAGACAUACUUGGCUGGCUUUUCUUGAUUGCAACUAGAGACCUGAUAGUUCAACUUUUCUAAGUAGUUUGGAGUUGUGCAACAUUUCCAUAAGAUGUGGAGAGUUUGUAAAAGGUUCCCCUAAUGUUCAAUUGUUUGUCAUUGUUGGUUAUCACAGGGCUGUAUGUGACAGUGAUUCAUACAGUAUUACUCUGUAGCCGUGUUACUGAGGGAUUAGGUGUUCUUAUCCUUUGGAGGAAAAUACAUGGAUAAUCUGUGAGGAGAUCAAGUGCACAAAAAGCUGAUUUUGUCUAUAAUCCAUCUCUGAAUAACAGAUCUACAAGUCAACAACACUAAUUGUGGUUGUGUAACAAUGUUUCCUUGUUGUGUCUUUUUGUUUUUUGUUUUUUGGCCCAAAUAUUGAUGGGAAAAAAAGGGAUUUAUCUUACAAGUAGAUAAGAGGUAGUACUCAUCCAGCCACUGUGAUAACAUUGUUUAUGGUAAAUAAUACCAUGCAGGAACUUGGAUGAAAGCUGUUUUUCUAAGAUAAAAAAGACCUUGAGGAGAGGGACUUGGAAUCAGUUCAAGAAGCAAUAAUAUGAUAUUUUCUACAUAAACAAAAUGGGAAAAAGUCCACGUAUAAAGUUCCAUCAUCUUAUCACAGGAAGAUAAUAAAUGUUUAUACGUUAAUACUGUGUCCUUGGUGUUCUUUAAAAAUACACUUACUGGAAUGGAAGAACAUGGACAAAAAUUGAAACCCUUUUCAAAUAAGCUUGACAACCUUGUCUUAUUUUUUUCUUUCAUAUUUUUCAUUCCCAGUGUUGCAUUUGCAGACAGAAUACAGAACUGGCUUUAUAAGUUGUCAAUUAAAGGAAAGUGAUGCUAAAAUAUGGCAAAGGUUCAGAAACAAAAAUGACUGCAUGUUAUCCUGCAUGGUAAGAGGGUUGUGUUUAGGGACAGGUUCCUGCAGGUUAGGCUAGAAAAUUAUCUUUAUGGACCUUUUCCCUGAUUGAUCAAAAAUAAAAAAAUAGAAGGCCGGUGUUUUAUCCAUAGCAACCAGUGCAGUAUUGAUCCCUUAGUAAAGGCUAGAAAAUGCCCCAAACACAACUCCGUUCCCAGAUCAUUUCACCUUGUCUAAUCCAGCACAACAUCCGGUAAGCUUUGCACUAAAACUUCCCCACAUUGUGUGACUGUAUCUGGCACAGCAUGCACUGUAGAUUAAGAAAAAAACAUCAAGGUAACAGUAAAAACUUUCUUUUUUUAAAUAAGUCUUGUCUGUGACAUAAUGGUGAGCAUAAAUCCCCGAUUGUUCGAUUAAGUAGUUGCAAAAAUAGUCUUCUUCUUUCAUACUCACAUGAGUGAGGAGCAGGCUCUUGGUUUUGAUUGUUACAGCAGUGAAAUACAAUGAGAAUGUUGAGUAAUCUAGUAAUGCUUGAACCUCCUAAACCCAGCUGCCCUCUCUGGUUCUGUGUCACAAUUAAGCAGAGACCCCGAGCAGAUUGCGGCAGUAUUAUAGAUCACAACUAAAGCAUAUUGCCAUUAGAUUAAUACAGCUGCAUACUGAGUCUCAGCAUACCACCAGCUCUGACAAGUGUGAAAUAUGUUUAGUAAGUGCAUAAUUAUGACAUCUGUUACUCGCCACAGCAGCUCUUUGCACAAUAUUAAAUGAAGAAAAUUACAGGUUUAAGUACAGUAAGUGUUACUAACACUCCGAUAGUGUGGUUAAUUGAAAUAUGGCUGCGGCGUAAUGAAGAUUAAAUUAAAACUGGAGAUAAUCGUCUGACACAAAGAUAAUUGAGUUGCAAUCCGCAGGCGAUGAAGAAUAGCUCAGGGAGAAGAAAGAAAUAAUCACGGCCCUUUGCUAGAGAGGAAUAAGCUUAUUUCUCUGAUGGGGCACAUAUAAAUUCAGCGCUGGGAUUAAAGAGUGAUUAAUCAAAGCAGUAAUCCACAAUUUGAGUGGAAUCAGAAUGACAUAUGUCUGUUUUAUGUAAUUUACUUUUCGGUCCUCAUCCAGGGACUGCAGGCUGAUUGCACUAUGAGUGUAAGUGUUUGCUUUUUUUUUUUUCUCUUUCCCUCAGCCAUCCUCGCUGGAUGGCUUGAUGGCUGAUCCGAUUGCAGAGGGAAACAAGAAUGGCAAAAUGUUUUCAUUCUCCCCCUGAAUUUUGCACAGGGGAGUGCUUGUACUCUCACAAACAUAUGGUCCCUCGUUGUGUGCCUUUGACAGUUCAAAAAGGGGUUAGAGCCUGUGGGUUGAAGUGUCUCCGUGUCAUCGGUGGCACCCUGCUACAUUUCCAGGCUCUGCAUCCACUGGCAACACAUAACGCUCAAGCAUCCAAAUGUAAGCCAGGCAUUGACACGAACAUGUACACUGCAGUCACAUUUAGUUUGUCAAAAUGUGUUUCAUCUGAUCAGUCUGGCAGUUUUCUAUCACUGUGGAGCUCACAUGAGUUUCUUUCCAACUUUCCACUUAGUUCAAGGAAAGAGCGAUUUAGAUGUUAAAGUUGUUUGAUCAGACAUCUCUGCGCCUCUUUUCACUGUGGUAUUCAUUCUUGUCAUGCAGACAGUUGCUGUUAUCCUCCCAGUUUUCCAUAAAAUGACUGUCACACUGCUCUCUCACUUGUAUGGAUUUUAAAUAGACAAACAGGCAGGUUUGUGUUUCCUGUUAAUUCUGUUUCACUUUCUUCUACAUAUUUGGAUUUCCACAAAAAAAGUGUAGAUUUCUGCCCUUAAAGAGCUGAGUUCUUGUGCAGGUUAGAGGUCAUGCGUCCAGAGGCCUAUUUUAGAGAGGUGAAUAAUUUACACUGUGCCCAGAGAAGCGGUGUAGAAUUACAUCAACAGGAGGACGGGAUAAAAAAGGCAAAUUUCCAAGGGCAAAGGGCACAUGUAGGAAUCAUCCCUAAUUAGUGGUUGCCAUGGAGAACGGCUCAGUGUACAGAGUAAAAUAAAGGCAGGCAGAGCAACUGACCAUCAACUAAAGACGAGCACAAAGCACACAUGGAUCACACCAUGGAGCGGUGAAGUAAUUACAUGGGUAUGUCACGGACUGGUUUAAUCCUCACAUCAGCUGCACAUGUUUGCAGUAUUAUGACUGUAUUCUUCUGCAUGUAGGCAUUACAUCUGAUUCUUAGUUUGAUAUGUUGUUAUAGGAUUACUCCACUCGCAUCUGUUAAGUCUAUCACACACAAACGUUGAACUCACCUGUUCCCACCAGACUCCCAUGUAUCAGUUAGACUUCAAGUUUUUUAGGAACAUCUUGAAAUCAUACUUAACAACAGCGGCGAGGUCAUAACCCUCAAAGUCAAAAUAGUUAAUCCCUGGUCUGAUGAUAACAGCUCAACUGAAAGGGAAAAAAGAUGUUAUCCGCGUAUCGACUGUCUGCUAUUGAUGUUGGUGUCAUUAUCUCCAGAUUGGCUCUGAAUUGGAACAAUGGCCAUUUUAAGUACCAUUUCCUUUUCCUCCCAGCCUGCUGCAUGUGGUACACAUUAAGCAACAUGCCAUUAGGCUGAAUAUCCUCAUUUCUGUCCUGAUUCAUGGCCUUCUUUGGACAAAAACAUCAUAACUUGGCAACAAAUCUUACAAGUUGAAGUGUCGUCAAAUAAAACUUUGAUUUAUGCAAGUUACAAGUUUUUGCACCAUCAGCUUAUUUAUUGUGAGUAUUCUGCAGUAAAAUGCAUUUUUUUUUUUUUUUUUUUUUUUUUUUACACCAAUUCAACAUUAAAUAAAUCAUACUGAGAGUCAUCAUACAGUUUUUGGCAAAGUGACAGCAGAGCGAUCGUGUCAUAAUUGUUCAAACCAGUUAGUUUGCUGGUAGUGUUGAUAAUACUCGAGCUUUAGAAACAGUAUAUCAGCCUGAGAUACAAUACAGUUGACCGGUGGAAAAACUUUGGAUUGGACAACAGUCUGUAGUCCCUCCUCUUUUGGGGUUUUUAUUGGCCUCCAGUAGGAUUCAAGACACAAAGUGGAGGGAGCUGAGAGGUUGCAGACAGUUUGCUGCUUUGUACUCCAGCCCACUGGGUCAUAGGAGGAGCCAGGAGGACAGAGGGUGUUGUUCCCAGAAGUCAACUGCAGCGAGGCGGGGCGUCAGUCGGUACACCAGCGACCUGCCUUCCCUCUGCCUUCCCAGCUGCUGGGAAAGAUGGAGAUACCAGCAAAUCUGUGUUUGUUCAGCCACUCCACAAAUAUCCCCUCUCCAGAUUGUGGCUGGCCGAGGAAACAGCACUUGACUGGGAUUCUGAAAUGAUUAUUGGUGGCAGUGUCCUUCUGGGGCUGCUUUUAUAAAUGUGCCAAUAAAUUUCACAUGUCCAGCUUUGUUUUGCUUUCAUUAGGCCUCUAAUCUCCGUCCCAGGGCCAGGACCAUUCUGCCAUGAGUGAACUCUCUGUUUUCUCUGGAGCCAGUGAUUAAUGACUGGACAGCAUCAUUACCAACGCUCUGCUCUGGAGUUACAUAUCUGCCUCUGUUGACACAAUGCCACAAACACUGCAGCAUUACACCCAUGGUGUGCGAAUAUAUGCAUUUGAAUAUACAUAAGAAUAUACAGUACGUGUCUGCCUGAACAAAAUGCUCUUCAUGUUA